AGAAAUCUCAUCCAUGAAACUCCAACCAGCCCACUAUUAUUACCAGUACUCGACUAACCUGAUGCAUGUGGAAUAUAAAAUUUAGUUUAGAUGAAUUAAAUUAUGUUGGAUUUCUUUAGGUGUUGAAAACUUGUUUAAUUUUUUCUGUACAUACAAUAAUAUCCUUUCGAAAAUUUAAUUAAGAGUAAUUGCCAGAAUUCAACAAAUCACAUCUAUCUUUAAAUUUUCUUUUAAAAAUACACCUUUGUCUGCGCAUGUGAGUGUUCAAGACAUGAAUUAAUGGACUCUUGAAGUAAUUUAUAUUUACUGUCUCUGCUGUUAAUCUAAAACCAAAAACAAAAUAUUGCCAUGAAUUUAGGGCUUAAAUAAUUAUUGCUGUUUUUAAAGAAUAUGAAGGAAUCAAUAUUUAUAUAACCUACAGAACAUGUGAGCUUAGCAAAAAUGGAGGAACGGUGCGAGAUGAAACGAUUUUUUCAUUAAAACAUCAUGCAAUGCUUUAAAUGGAGAUGCACGUUUGAAAUAAAAAUAAAAUAAAAACAACAUAAAGAAGGAGGAGGGUUGAUUGUAUGGGGAUUUGUGCUUAUAAUUUAGGCUCGCAUAGCUUCCUUUGAUUGAAGAACACACGUGCAAGCAAACUCACAAAUGGUAUUGUGCCACUUAGAAAGAGAAGCACAUCAAUCAUAGAACUUCUUUUUUUUUCUUUUUUUUUUUGUGAAUCAAUUGUGACGGUGGCUUAGUUCGGCCGCGUUUGUUAUAUCAGGAUAGGGACCAAAUCCUUUUGUUUAUUUCUAAUUUUCGAUGUAUAAUGUGUCGCCUUUACCUUUCCCAAGAGACAUAAUUCUACUUUUGGGUUGAUCCGGACCUUUUUCUUUUCUCAUUCCUAAUUUUUAAGCACUUUAACCCUAGUUCACUUUAUGCACAAGUGGAAAUUAACCUCUUUGAAAUUGUGGGUGAGAGAGAUGAUAAUUUUAUUUUUCGAAAUUAAAAUUUGAUUCGACAAAGGUUAUUAAGGAGAAAUAACAAACUUAAAGAGACCGUAACAAAAAAUGACAAAGUGAUACAAGCUCUUAAAAUAAUUAAAAUUAUUUAUUUUAUUUAUUCAAUUUUAUGGUAUUAGUUAAUUUUGAUCUAGUCAAAAGUAGUUACUUGAACUAGUCAAAAGUAGUUACACUUAUUUUGUGGAACUAUAUGUAAGUAGUGGAGCAUUAUGUGAGAACAUUCUUAGUGUUACUAAUUUUUAGGUUGUAAUCUUAAAUAAGCUUUAUUCUACAAAGUUUGAUAUUAUUCAACAAAAAGCAUCAUGAGUUUAUUAUUUUGGCAACAUAAAAGUUGUAAUUGGGAGUUUAUUGGUUUUUCGAAUAACCAAUACUUAUUUGGAGGCUUGGGUUUCCUCGAUUUAAACCCAUUUUGUUGGUAAAUUCGGUGGGUGAAGCAGACACACAGCUAAAGUGAAAUUGAGAAAUAAUGAUCACACAGGGACACCAAAAUUUACGUGAUUCGACUUUUAGCCUACAUCCAUGGGCAAAAAUAGAAGGAAAAUUACAAGUAUUGUAAUGUUUUGUCUCACAACCCAAAACCCAAUUACACCCAAACUCUCAAAAACACUAGAACUAGAGCUCAAAGCUCUAACACUCUUAAUUUACACCUCUUAGCACUCUCACUUGAAUUGGAGAAAAUGGGAUGAAUGGAGAGGACAAAUGAAGCCGCUAAUUAUAGGUCAGGCAAUGCCCAAAAAUCAACAAUGGUGGGCACUAAAAUAAUAUAAAUUUCUCUUAAAUUUCCACUUUGGUGCUUAAGUCAAAAGUUGCAUGCCUCCCACUUACUCAACAAAUUUAUGCCAAGAGUCAAAAGUUGCAUGUUAGCCACAUGCAAUUGUUUGCCACAUGCAUGCACAUGUUCAACACAUUUGUAUCUAAUUUUUCUAUUUCAUUUGAUUUUUUCUUAUAAACAUUAGUGUUUGUAUCAUUUGGUAUAAGAGCUUGGUAAUAAAAAAGGAGUAAAUCCUUACAGUGGAGCAGAGAAUUGAGAGCAUUCAGAUAAUGAUGGAGGGUAUAAUUCUUUAGCAGAAGGAACUUACCAAGAAAUUAUUGUGCAAAAUGGAUGAAAUAUCAAGAACAUGGGAUGCAAGGUUGAACUCAGGUAGCUCUCAUAUCAAACAUGUGAAAGAAAAUUCUACGUCUUUGGUUGAAGUUCAACGUCUCCAACAAAGUGACAAUUUGGCAAAUGCAACGCAUGAUGGAGGUGUUAAACAAUGCAGCAAAGUAGUGCAUCAUUGAAGAAAAUUCCAUAAAUCAACAUUCAAAAGGUUUGUCUUACAAGUCAAAGGUGCAGAGUGUUUAUUUUAAGGACAAAGCCAAAUUGCCUAGCCACCAUGAUGAGAAAUUAUUCAUCGGUAAAGUGCCAAAAAUUGAGAUGAAGAAUAUGGUUGGAUCAAUGGAGGAUUUUCAAAAGAGCUUCAAGGUAUCAUUAUAUCUAAUUAUGAAUUGGAAACGGAAGAGAAAGCAAAUUAUUUAAAAAAAAUCUACCCUUGAGAACAACGGUAUUUUCAAGGGGGAAGGAAUGAUACAAACUCUUAAAAUAAUUAAAAUUAUUUAUUUUAUUUUAUGGUAUUAAUUAAUUUUGAACUAGUCAAAAGUAGUUGCACUUAUUUUGUGGAACUACAGGAAAGUAGCGGAGCAUUAUGUGAGAAAAUUACCUAUUAAUAAACCAUAGGUAAUUUUCCAUUUCUAGGUAAUAUAAAUGUUUGUGAAUAGAAUUUUAUUUUAAUUAAAUGAUAAAUAUUAUCUUAAUCACUAACAAAAAAAAAUAUUAAACAUGCAAAUAUACAUAUUAAUUUAGAUUUAUGUGUAAUAAAUAUUGAAAUAUUAUUUAAACUUCACCAACACAUAUUAACAGUGAUCUCUUUUUAUUAUUUAUAAUUGGAACAAUACAAUUUUAAUUUCUUGGCGUUAUAUUUAUUAAUCUACUAACUUUUUGGUGAGAAAGAAAGACUAUUAUUAAAAAUAAUAUUCAAUUAUGUUAGUAUUAAACAAUAGUUUAAAAAUAUAUAUAAUUUUAGAUAGAUUGUAACUUUUUUUUUAAUCUUUAAAUAGAUUGGUCUGAUAGCCUGUUAAUUUUAAAUUAUUAAAAUUAAAAUAUUUCACUAACUGGCUUCUAAUUUUAUAAGCCAUUGAUUAAAUCCAACAGUUCAUAUUUAUGCGACUAUUAAUACUUAACAGCAUCAUAGCAUGACCCUUGUAUUGUAAUUCUUUUUCUUUUUUCUGAAAGUAACUGAAUUAUUGUUUGACCCACAAUUUUAGAAAAUGCCUAAUAAGAAUAUUGAAAUUCCUGAAUUCUUAAUGACCAUAUCUUCAAAACACAGAUAGUGGUUUUGGGUCGGAAUAGAGCUGGCAAAAUUUGACACAACCCGAUUACCCAACACGAAGAUGACAUAAAUAAAUGGGUAUGGGUCGUCAAAUUUAACACGAUUAUUAAAUGGGUCGGGUCUAGGUCGACACAAUUUUUUUCCGUGUCGGGUUAGGAUUAAAAUUCUUGACCCAUUUACCCGAUCAAUGACCCAAUUAUAUUUUCUAUUUUAAAAUAAUUUACAAGUUCUUGUCAUCAAAACUCAAAUAUUAGAGAUGAUUUUCUCUUUUAUUUUUAUUCUUUAAAAGGAUGAAUAUAAACAUAGUGUUUUAUUUAUAAAAUUUUAAAUACAUUUAGAGAUUCAAUAGUGUAAAUGCGUAAAAUAUUGGUAGACAUAUAUAUUUUAUCAAAUUGAUAUAUAAUAUUAUUUACAUACAUAUAAUUAAAACUUCAAUAGUGUAAAUAUGUAAUAUUUUGGUAGAUAUGUAUAUUUUAUAAUAUCGAUAAAUUAUGUAUGUAUGUAUGUAUGUAUGUAUGUAUGUAUGUAUGUAUGACAGUGUGUAAAUAUUUGAUGUAACUUUUAUUUAAUAUAUAGAUAUUAAGUGGGUUAUUGGGUAACCCAAUUAUUUUUCUGUGUCGAGUUUGGGUCACAAUAUUUUGACACAAUUAUGAAAUGGGUCGGGUUUGGGUCAAGCUAAAUUUAACACGACCGGAAGCUGACAUGACACGAACACGACCCGAUGACCCAUUUUGCCAGCUCUAGGUCGGAAGGCUAAAUUCAUAAAUAAAGUUUCCCUUGUUUCCGAAAAUUUCAAAGUUCAGCUCUAGUUACAUAUGGAAAAUGAAUCCGGAGCGCAGUUCCAUCAACAUCAACUAUUGAUUUUUAAAGAAAAAAAAAGUUGAAAAGCCAUGUGAAAAAAUGAAAAUUUCAAUGAAAGUGGAUAAAAUGCGUUGCGACUAUGGGUUACAUAGCAAGAUACAUCAGUGCUGACGAUUUUUUGCUUUUACUAAAUUGAUGGAAAUAUCAUAAAGUUUCAAAGAAAACAAAUAUGUUUUCUCAUUUUAUCAAGAUUAUUCAGAUGGGAAGAAGUUUCCUAGCCGCAAUUUUCCUACUUUCGAAAUGGAUGUUUGAGAUGAGUUCAACCCCCUUUCUUUUUCUUUUUUUUUUGUUACAAUUUUUAUGCAUAUUACUGUUUUACUUGUUUCAAUUACUCAGAUUAAGCAAACAAUCAAGCCACAUUACUAGGUUAUCAAGAAAGCGUAGUCACCAGUUAGGUCCUUCUUCAUGCCAAAUUCUGCACCGAAAGGACAAAGCUUAGGUCUCAAGUCAAAGACGUGACUUAUUUUAGUCAUUUGCUUUUUGUUAAACAGAAUUUAGGGGAAGUUAAUUAAUCGAUAACAUGUUCACCACAUGGGGAUUUCUUCUACAACUGCUCAACUGAAAAAGGUUUACGACUGUUGACCAAAUGAUUUUUUUAUGCAUUACUAGUCAUUUAAGGAAUUUAGUUUCGCAUAGUACCAUUAAUUGUUAAGAGUUAUUAGCUAACCCACCGGUAACUUCUAUUGAUGGUAUCACCACAAAGUUUGUUUUAUAAUUAGUUAAAUAGGUAUACGAUGAGCUCGAAAGCAAUUUGUUUUUUUAUUUUUCAGAAAAGAUUGUUUUACUAAAAAAAAUGUAAUAUAGAACAAAAGAAGAUUAGACAAUCGGGGGUGUAAUGAACCCUAAUUAAAGAUAGUUACCAUAGAAUUAACUAAUUAAUGAAGUGAUAAAGGAGAUAAAACUGAUCGACUAACAGUCAAAAUUAUGUUGAUAUAUGCUACCAUCCUUAUAAAAGAAAUGGUAUUUAGUACCAUAUCAUACCAUUUCUUAUAUAAUUUGUUUUUAAAAAUAAAAGUCUAUAAUGAAUUAGAAAUCUCACCCAUGAAACUCCAAUUAUCACCCAGUAUUAUUACUCGUACUCGACUAACCACAGUUGCAAACAUUCAAAGUCAGUGGUGUUGUGCCAAGGGAGCCAAACAAUUCCCCCCACCCCCCACCUUUUUGUACAUUAUAAUCAUAGAUCUCACCUUAAUGGUACAUGUGGAAUAUAAAAUUUAGUUUAGAUGAAUUACGAAUCUCAGCCACACAUGUAAAUUGAUAAAUUACUGUGAAUGUUAGUAUAAUUAUUUUAAUAUUAUUAUAAUGUAAAAUAUAUUCUAUUAUUAUUAAAAGAAUAUGACAGAUUAAUAAUGUUAGAAUAAUUUUUCUAACAUUCAAAAUAUUUUAAAAAUUUUAUCUUAUUUUAUAAAUUAUAUGAUUUUAGGUUUAAUUUAUAUUUAUCAUACAUGUUUAUUUAAAGUCAAUUAUUGAGUUGUUGUAAUUAAGUAUAUAAUAGUUCAAAAAGAGUCUAUGUAACAAUUUAUGAUAUUAAGGGGAUAUGUUUGAUCAUUUAACAAUUUUUAAUUUUUUUUAAAGCAACCUUGCUAAAGUGAGAAAUCCAUUAAAUAAAGAAGAAACAGAAAUAUAUUUUAGAGGAUAUAGUGAGCCUUACCUGUUAAAAAGUACCACAUCGUUCUAGAAUAAGAAAAUAUACAUAAAAUAUAAUAGAAAAAAGUACAUUAAUGUAAAAUUACCAUCCUAAAUGAAACAAGCCAAUUAACAGAAUCUAUAAUUGGAGAAGCCAUCAGUCUAUAAAGAAAGAAACUUCCGAAUGACCAUAGGAGGAUCUCCCAAAUUCGCAAGACAAUCAGUAACACUGUAAUUCUUCCUAGAAGUGUGAUAACAUUGGAACAACAUGGGAGAAUAAAUUAAGUUUUGCAGUUGAUCAAGGGGCAGGCGAAGACAAUGAACAACAACCAAAUAGCUACAUUCUAACCAAAGCCAAAAACAAAUUAAUUAUAUAAUCGCUCCCCCCGAUAGGUAUGUAGAGGCUUAUAUACCUUGUGGUUUUAGCUCCACGCUUUAUCUUUAUUGAGUUCGAGCAUUUGGAUCAACCCCAUGCGUGUUAUGGGAGUAGAAUUUGUCAUUAUUGUGAGUAGAUCUUUUCUUCCAUGAAGAAAUUAAAAUUUUAGGUGGAUAGCCAUAAGCUUUCAGAUGGGCACUAACAAAGCAAGUCUUUGACGGACUUCUACUUGUGCGACUUCGAAUAGAUUUCUAUUUGGCCGUUCAACAUAAUCAACAAUUACAGUAAACCCCUGCCCUUAAUGUAAGGUUUUAAAAGGGCAGUGUAAUAAUUUAUAAUUACAUCAACAUCGGGGAAAAACAAGUAAUGAGGUAGGGUUUAUCUCAUUUGGGUGGCCUAAAUCCAAUUUUCAUUCAUUUAAGUAUUUAAAUAAUUAAAGAAAGAUUGAGGGGCUAAGUGAAGUUUUACAAUAAAAUUCGGUUUGUAGAACGUGGCUUUAGAAGAGUAAGUGGAAGCGGCUGAAAAAAAGAGAAAAAGUACAGAAAGAAGAGAGAAGAAAAGGAGCAAGUGGCUGACUAUUACAAUUUUGGGGUAAGAUUUUUAAUUUUUGAUUAGACGAUCAGAAGGCGAAAUUAACUCCGUUUUCUCCCAAAUUUUAAGGGUAAGUUCCUAGCAUCGCCCUCUAUAAUCUUACUGGUCUUGAUUUUUAUUUUAUUCUCUCAUUGGCUAUUAUUUGAGAUACUCACUUAUUAGAGAGACAUAUAUUAAGAUGUUACUGUAAGCCAACAAUAUUGAGAUUUUUUGAUGUUGUUAGUCUCUAGUAUUAUCUAGAGAAGAAUUUUUAUUGUAAUUCCAUUAAUAUAGUGGAAGACUAUCAGACUACGGUCCCGUGAUUUUUCCCACUUUGGGUUUCCACGUAAAAAUUUGUGUCUCUUGUGAUUGAUUUAUUGCUUUGGAUUUUGUUGGUUUAUUUUUCUGCCUAUUUAUUUGUGAUACACAUCCUAUUUUAAUCACAUAAAGAGGGAAAUAGUUUUAUUUUCACUUAAUUUACAAUUGUUUGUGUGAGUCCCUUUCCUAAUAAAGUGUCUCGGAGUUUCAGGUUUUGUAUUUUUAUUACUUGUGUGGUUUAGAUGGAGAAGUCCUUGGUGUGCAAGAUUAAAUUAAAGUCAUAGAAUUAUAGUAUUUGAAAGUCUUGGAUUGAAGAUUUGUUGUACAUGAAAGGCUUACACGAACCCAUUAAAGGCAAAGAAGCUAGACGCACCGAUUUAGAUUAUAAGAAAUGGGCUCAAUUAAACCAGAAAGGUCAUGAGUACUAUUAGAUCAUGGAUUGAUCAGAGUGUGUACCAUCAUGUCGUGAAGGAAUCCAGGGUUGAUGUUCUUUGGAGAAAAUUAGAGAUGAUUUAUGAGCAGCCGAUAGCAUAGAACAAAGCCAAAUUGAUGAAAAUGUUUGUUAAUUUGAAACACAAGAAACGGGGUAGUAUAACUGAACACACUAGCGAGUUUUAGGGCUUGGUUGAUCAGUUGAUUACUAUGAAAAUUAUGAAAAUUAUAUGAGCUAAUGAGUUACAAGGAUUGUUGUUACUUAGUUCUUUACCUGACAGUUGGAAGAUAUUAGUAAUGUUAGUGAAUAAAUCAAAGCUGAAUAGGAAAUUAACCUUGGAUAUAGUUACAGAUAGGCUGCGGAAUGAAGAAUCUAAAAUAAAUUUAAAAAAAGUGUUGAAUGUUGUGCAAAUUUUAUUGAACUCACAACUGCACGAAUCUAUUGUAGAAUAGAUCAACGGUAAUGAGUGUCGAUCCCACAAGGAGGUGGAUUUUAAUUGCGUGCAGAGUUAAUUUUUUAUGUGGGUGGUUGGAUUUGCAUUGAAAGUGAUUUAGACUGUCCUAAAAUUUAAAUUAGAAAGGCGAGAACAACUUACGAUGAAAACUAUUAAAAUGAAGUGCUUGUGUAACAUAUGUGAAUUAAAAAAUGAAUAAAUAAAAAGAAGCCAUUAAGAAGUUAGUAAAAGCAAAAUAAUAAGCUGGAAACAGGGGAACAUAUGCACGUGUGACAGAGUCAGAGAGAAGCUGUCAAUCCGACCCAAAAACCCAACCCGACCGGCGAACGUGACCCGGCCGUAUCUCCCAUUUUCAGCCACCGUCAUUCCCCUGCCAUUCUCGCCGCCGAAAAGCAGCCAGAACGCCGGCAAUCGAAGCUUGAAAACCUGCGAAUGUUUCGCUUUCUUCCGCCGGGAUUUUCGCCGGUUUUGGGUGACACCACCAGUUGGAUUUUGUUCCUCACGACUCCCUCUUCCAUUUCUGACCAUCCAUAGGCAUCGGGAGUCACUGUUUUUCCGUCGGCCAAUUGUUGGAAUUCACGGCUGUCGAGCUAGAUUCCGGUGUCGUUGCCACGCGUUGGAGCUCACCGCCGGUACCAUUGAACUUAGCGUGAUUGGAACUUUCAGACUUGAGCUUCUUAGCCAGUGUUGACUAAAUUCCGAUGAUCGUUGACAGGCAAGGGCAUUUCGGUAAUUUCACACUAUGAGGGCAAUUUUGUAAUUUAUGAGCUUGUGGAUAUUUUAGUAAUUCCUAGAAUUGAGGAUUGUGUGUAAUUAUGAUUCUGAGGGUAAUUCGGUGAUUUAUAAUUUCAGAAUAUUUUAAUGAUUUACGGACUCGAGGGCAUUUUAGUAAUUUUACCGACACGGGAGUUGUGAAUUAUGGAUAGAUGUUCGUUUCGAGUUUAUUGCAUAAAUUAAGUCCUAAUUCCGAUUUACAGAAAAUAAUUAUGUCGUUUCCUUGAUUUAGGAGGAUCCGCGAGCGAGAACCAAUCCGUGGACGUGGACGAUAACCGAGCGUGAACACCGUCACUGUGAGUGGAAUAUAUAAAACUUAUGUUCAUAGUUGAUUAUAAUAGUAAAGCAUGUUUGCGAAAUAAGUAUUUUAAAUGUUCUGAUUUAAUGAUUUCUUCAAAAUGGAUUUUAUUCACGCAUUGGUGUUUUAUUAAAAUGUUUGGUUAAUGAUUUUGCGUAUCGACUUUGAAUAAGCAUGAUAGUAUUUUAAAGAUAAGAAAAGUGGAUUCAAAUGUAGUAUGAUUUAAAGUAUGGUUAAAAGAUAUGCGAAUAUGAGUAUAGUGAUUGUUUUUGAAAUCAUUAGGCAGUACCCUUCCCACCAGAUAGAGUGAUAUAAAUGAGAUGAGAUGAGAGGUUUUUGGGGCCCGUCUGAAUACACAUAGAGGCUUUGGGUCGUGUGUUUGGGCGCUUUUGCCUUUUGGGGGCAUAUGCAUGCGGUAUGAUGAUUACAGAGACACAAAUAUGAGAUACAGACAAAUAUUGAGCUAUAGAUGAUACAUAUGAGAUACAGGCAUUUGCGGCCCGUCUAAGUACAAACAGAGGUUUUGGGUCGUGUGCUUGGGCGCUUUUGUCCUUUGGGGACUAGAUUAUGGAUGCACAUAUAUGAUGAGAUAUGAUGAGAUAUGAGAUGGUAUUUCCCUGUCUAUCCGUGUAGCUCCGGGGCGUGACGGUACCCAGAUAGUACGUCAUUGCCUGUCCGUUGAGGUCCGGAUAUGAUGAGAUUAUUUCCCUGGGUACUUGUUUGUGAUGAUUUUCAUAUUUGUGUAUUUUAUAUGAUAUUGUGAUAUGAUUUCCAUAGUUAUUUAGUACGAUAUUAUAUAUGCUUUUCAUGGUUAGUAAUCUGAUUUAAAUGUUAAAUGAUUUAUUACUGGUUUCUCGCAUAUGGUUUGAUGAAAUCGUGUUUGGAAAUGAUAUGAUUAUUUCUUUUAAAGUAAGAAUUAAUUUUCAAAAACUACUAUCCACUCACUGAGUUUUAAACUCACCCCAUUUUUAUUAUAUUCCCCCCCCCCCACCAGGAGGUUGCAGGUAUACCAGACCGACCUAGCGACUGUAAAUAUAUAUUGAGUCUUGGCCACAUGAUGGUGUUAGAAGAUAUAAAUGUUUUUAUUAUGACAUCUUGGUUAUCUCGUUCUUUUGGGAUUGUAUAAUUUUGUUAUAUUAUUCUUUUGGGAUUAAGAAUUAACUGAGAUAUUAAUAUUAGUUAUAAUAUUAUCUUUUGAUACUCUUGAGAUAUCUUGAGUGAAACUCAUCAUUUUGGUUGAGGAUGUUGAUCACUGGAGUUUGUUGUAUAUUGAAUUAUAUUGGGAGUGCUUGUUUUACAUAUUUUCAGAUUGGGAGUGUUAUAUAUAUAUAUAUAUAGAAGCCUCUGCCGAAUUUUCGGCAGAAUCCUUACUAAUUAGAUUAUUAUCAAGUCCGUUUUGAUGAGACUAGAUUGUCUCACCCGGGGGGAUUCGGGGCGGGUCAUUUCAGCUUGGGUUUAUGGAUCUGCACUCAACAUGCAUCACGGGCUUAAUAUUCUUUAUUAGUGCCAAUUAAAUCAUGAGGGAGGGUUUCCACUCUUCAUGAACCUCACUCCAACAAAUAUGGUGCUAAGUGUUUAUCGUGCCAAAUAGUAAUAACCUUGCAUUGGGAAGACAGUUAUACCAGUGUAAUAUUUAGACAAUAUUAUUAUUAUUUGUUGAUAAAAAGUCAAAUCAUCCACAAAAAUUAAAGGGGAAGAGAAAGUAAAUUUGCCAAAUUAAGCCCAUGGAACAUGUUGAGACUUCAUCUUCAACCCAAGCUUGAAAGAAAAUUAGCUACUCAUAAUUGACCUAGAGGUAAAAUAGAAAUUUAUUAAAAUAUGUAGAAAAUACAAGACAGAGAAGGAAUUAUAGAAAAUGAGCUCAAAAAUGGAUUCAAGGGUGUCAAAUUAGGGGGGAGCCUCCUAUUUAUAGAUACAAUAAGUAAAUCACAGUCAUUGGAUUAAAACAAUUUGGACGCUCAGGAUUGUGACAUGUGACAAAUUCUAAUUGGAUAGAACACAUCAUCAGGGUUGUCAUUCCGUGUAUAUGCAUGUAUCAUACGCACAUUUUUCGGUCCACUAACAUACUGCCACAUCAUCAGUCAAUGCCACAUUAACAUUUUAGUCCAAUAGGAUCGUGAAACAUUAUUGGUCAAGCCACGUCAUCAGUCAACACCACUCAAUGCCACAUCAUUCGUCCAAUCGAAUGUUGCCACGUCAUCGAUCAAUGCCACAUCAUCGGUCAACGUCAACAGUCAAUGCCACGUCAUCAUACUGUAUAUGUGAAUAGUAUUGUGAACAGUACAAUGAAUAGUACCGUAUAUGUGAACAAUGUCGUUUAUCCUUUUAUACUCUUCCUAAGGUUUUUCGACUGUCCUGAGUUCAAAAUUGCUGUCCAUUUUGCUAUCUGAUCUCUCGUUCACUGUGAAAUGACUAUGAUGCCCCCUAAAAUACAUAAAAUACUUUAAUUAUAAUAAAACACACAUAAUUAAAUCACAAGGGACUUAAAUACAUAAAAGUAGAGAUGUUAGAGAGACAUAUAUUAGGCUAUUACUGCAGCCAAGAAUAUUGAGAUUGUUGAUGUUGUUAGCCUUCAAUAUUAUUUAGAGAAAAACUUGUAUUGUAAUCUCAUUAAUAUAGUGGAAGAUUGUAUCGGACUAUGGCCCCAUACUCUUUCUUGCUUUGGGUUUUCCACGUAAAAAUUUGUGUCUUUUGUAGUUGAUUUAUUAUUUUAGAUUCAGUUGAUUGAUUUUUUUUUUGCCUAUUAUUUAUGGUACACAUCCUAUUUUAAUAACACAAAGAGGAAAAGAGUUUUAUUUCCGCUUAAUUUGCAAUUGCUUGUGUGAGUCCUUUUCCCAACAAAUUCUUUAAGAAUUAAACUACUCAGUUCAGUUUCUGAUUGAUGUAGGACGGUUUAGUAGGAUAACCAGGGUAAUUUUCAGAGUCAUAACUUGGGCUACAAUUGUUCAUUUUUUUUUCAUAUAAUAUAUCAUUUCGAAACUUGUGACAAGAUGCCGUCGAACCAAUAAUUUUGUUUCUUUCCCAAUCUUUUUUCAAUUUUAAAAUAUUUUCCUAUUUUUUCUAUUACUUUCAAGAUUUUUAUCUCUUUUCAAAUAUCAUAUUUAAGUGCUUUUUGUUUUGGUUUCCUUAUUUAGAUUACGAGAAUUUUAUUAUAAAAUAAUAUUUCAAAUUUGUCUAUUUCGAUAAAUUAGCGAUAUUCAAGAUUAUUAUAAAAGGGGCCAAAAAAUUUGAUUUUGUUUGUUCAAACUUUUCCUAAUAAAAUUUCGUUAUUCAAAAAUCUAGUUUCUCUUAUCUUUCAAUCUUUAUAUUUCUACAUCGUCAGAGGCCUAUUAACUAAAGACUUUCCUUUAGAGGUAACUCCAUUAUUUUAUGGUAAACUAUAAGCCUCACAAUAUACUUGUGAUUUCUCGAAUUCUACUGUGUGUGCUGGUCAGUACUCGAUCAAUCACUUGCUAUCCGUACCAAACAAAAAUUGUAUUAAACAGGGGAUCCCCAAAAACUUGGCAAUUCACCCAUGCAUGUAGCCCUCGGUACACUAAUAAAAGCAUGAAUAAUUGCAGUCGUUGUCUUUGUGAUGAGUGUACAUUGUGACAUUAACUCGUGUUAACAGUACUUCUAAGCACGUCUGUGUCCAUGGCCCAUUAAUUGGGCUCAUUAUAUAUUAAUAUUAAUUCCUUUAUAUCCUUGUAAGAAUUCAUAUAUAUCGAAAUGAGCGACAUGGCAGCAGUAUCAUGAUUAAAUCCUGAAGAUCAAUCCGCAUUAUUUGUUUUCUUUUUUUCAUUGGGAAAUCUUCGUAGAGGAGCGGAAAUCAGUCUAAAGGAUAGUAUUUUGUGCACGCCUUGACGAAUUUUGUAAUCGUUGGUGGAUGAACAGUGUUGUAAAUAGUAUCUGAUAAACAAUAUCUAUGAACAGUGACAUAAACAGUAUCAAUAGCUAAUACUUAUGGAGUUCUUUUCUAUGUUGAAAUUGAUGUUUCGGCAGGUUUUGAAAUUCAAAGAAGCAAUAUUAAUUCGUAUUUCCAACACCAAAAACUUGGUAAUGCACCAUGCAUGUAGCCCUCGGUAAAUCAAUUAAAGCACGAAUAAUUGCAGCUUUCGUCUGUGCGAUGAGUGUACAUUGAUGACAUUAACUCGUGCUAAAAGUACUUCUAAAUACGUCUGUGGCCAGUGCCCAUGAAUUGGCUCAUUGUAAAUUAAUAUUGAUCCCUUUAUAUCCUUAUGAGAACCAAGAAACAUCAUUUAUUAAAAUGAGCGAUGUGGCAACAUAGCUAACCCAACAAAAUAUGAUAUAAUUAUUUCCUUAAUUUUCUGUUAAAUAGUAAAAACAAUGAACAAUCAUUGAAAUUGAAAUUGAAAUUGAAAUUAAUUGAGGUAAUUACUAUGUUAUUGUAAUUAUUGCAACAUCUCUUGCUGUCGUAAAACAAUGUCUAAAACAUAUAUUAUUGCAACAAUUAAACUUUCUAUUUUAUCAUUCCACGACCAUUUUCAGAAUAAAUAAAAAUUGCUUUCAAUCAUUAAACUCACUUGGCUUGCUGUGCUGUGACUGAUUAACUGGUAAGCUAACUCGCAAAUGAUAUUUUGCCACAUGUCUAUAUUGCGUAAUGGUAUGGGGUCGGGGGUGGGGGUGGCCCGGUGGGGAAACUCUUUUCUUAAAAGUUUAUUCAUUUUUUAUACUAAUCCAUUACAAGCAACAAUUAUGACGGCGAUGUAAUUGAUUAAUUAAUAUGGAAUGCUUUCAGCAGAAAGGAGUGAAAAGCGAUUAAGUAAUGAACAUAUAGAGACUGGAGGGCCUUUUUCUUCUUCUUCAUCCUUUUUUUUUUUCUUUUUUCUCCCUCUUUUGAAACUGUUAUUAUAAUUAAAAAGAACCGCCGAUUACUUCUCCAUUUUUCGCUCCACAUAUGAAGUCCUAGCCUCCGAGUCAUGUUACAGUUUCUAAAAUUUUAAAGAAGUGUUUGUUGUAACUUUUCGCAGAGUGUCACAAUCCUUUUUCUAUUUAUUAAAUAUCUUAAUUGAAUUUGUUACACACAUAUUAUUCUUGCUAAAAAGACCAAAAUAACAAUACAAUAAAAUUGCAUCCAUCACGCCAUGCCCAUUGCCCUGAAAGAGUCAGUAGUACAGACAAAACCCAUAAAACCAGCGAAACUUGAUAGCGUAAUUAAUAAUUUUAACAACAUAUAACAGGGAACUUAGAGGAUAUGCUUAUACAGAUUCAAAUAACGAAAAAGUUUUAAAAAAUUAGAAAAUUAACAAUAAUAACAUGACAGUAAUAUAACAAUGCCACGUAUGUUUGUGAGAAUUUAUACUGGUGGUCUUACUCAGUUAAUAAGAUAUUUAACGAACUAAUAUAUAACUCUUUUAAUAAUUACAGCUUUUUAAUGAUUAGUUGUGUAUAUGCUACAUUCUUUGAUAUAGCAAUUUGAAAUUUAGCUGUUGCCACAAAAUGUUAAUCUCUAGUGAUUUUUUGGCAUGAUGGACAAAAACAAAAUUAUGGAAAGGCUGCAAUUUGAAGCAACGAUCACAAAUAGUUCACAAAUGAAUAGAUUGAUCCACAUGAAUUGAGGAAACAAAAUGUCAAAACGAAGCAUAGGUUGCCAUUUCAAGCUACAAGGGCAAAUAGUUCAGAAAUGUGUUCCACGGGAAUUGCCUGAUCUUGUGCUUAAAGCAAACAUAAGGGCAUAAUUUUAUAUAGCAACCGACAAACUGAAAUUAGAUAAAUACUUUUUCCGUUUUUCCGUUAAUUUAUUAGAACUGCCUUUGAAAUCUCCCAUUAUCAUACAAAGUUACAAACCAUGUAUGUGCACUUGUCCUUUGGUUGCAUCUGUAGCCUUCUGUCAUCAAAUAUAUAUUAUCCAAGUCUCAAGUAAGGGCAUUUAAGUAAAUAAAGUUUGUAUUAGUUAAAGCAAAAAUAAUCUCUCCCAAAAUUCGGCGCUUGCAGCUUGCUUUCACUCAAUUCAAAUCCUAUAAAUGCCCCCAUUAAAUCGUUUCAAAUUCCAUCAACCAAACAUUCAAUCCUCAAACUAUUUAUCUAUUCCUCUCAUUCCUAUCUUCAAAUUAAGUUUUCAAGAAAAUGGCAAAAUCAAUGUCUUUGCGUAUUCUUUUAGUACUAAUAAUCUUGAUUCUCUUCUUUAGUUCAUCUUUAGCAAUUCCAGUGGUCACUUACAAUGUGAUCAGUUUGGGAGCCAAAUCGGAUGGCCGGAGUGACUCAACGAAAGCCUUUCUAGCUUCAUGGGCCAAAGCUUGUGGCUCAACUGCGGCCUCAACCAUUUACGUGCCACCUGGGAGGUACUUGCUGCACAAUGUUGUGUUUCAAGGCCAAUGCAGGAACAAUGACAUUACCACACGUAUUGAUGGGACUCUAGUGGCUCCAUCCGAUUAUCGUGUCAUUGGAGAUGCGGGAAACUGGAUUUUAUUUUAGCAUGUUAAUGGCGUUUAUAUUUAUGGUGGCAUCCUUGAUGGCCAAGGUGCUGGCUUGUGGGCUUGUAAACGAUCAGGCAAUAAUAAUUGCCCUAGCGGUGCCACGGUAAGUUGGAAGAUCGUUGCUUUUAAUUAUAGUCAUAAAUUAAGUGGUUUUUGGUUUUGGUUAUUCUCCUCAGAUUAAAAUAAUUAAUAACGUUCCUUCUUGUGUAAAUGAGCAGACACUGGGCUUUAGCAACUCAAACAACAUUCUGAUUAACGGACUAACAUCCCAAAAUAGCCAGAUGUUUCAUGUUGUCAUCAAUGGAUGUCACAAUGUGAAAGUACAAGGGGUGAGAGUCUCGGCCUCGGGAAACAGCCCUAACACCGAUGGCAUUCAUGUUCAAUUAUCAAGUGAUGUCACAAUUUUGAACGCUAGAAUUGGGACUGGAGAUGACUGUGUAUCAGUUGGCCCUGGCACCACCAAUUUAUGGAUUGAAAACGUUGCUUGUGGCCCUGGCCAUGGCAUCAGGUAGAAAAUAAAGAACAUGCAUGAUGAUUUAUUUAUAGCAUUUUUUUUUAUGUCAUAAUAUUUAGUGCUACUAUUGUGAAUUCGUUGCAGCAUUGGUAGCUUAGGCAAAGAGCUGCAUGAGGCUGGAGUGCAAAAUGUGACAGUAAAAAUUGUGACAUUUACAGGAACUGAAAAUGGAUUGAGGAUUAAGUCCUGGGGAAGACCAAGCACUGGAUUUGCUCGGAACAUUCUUUUCCAACAUGCUCUUAUGAAGAAUGUCGAUAAUCCCAUCGUAAUUGAUCAAAAUUACUGCCCGGACAACAAGAAUUGCCCUGGAAAGGUAUUUUAUUUAUCACAAGUUUAUAUGUGAGAAUGUUAGACGUUUAUGUGAAUAAAAUUUAAAUUAAUAAUUAUAUUUUUUAUAUUCAACAGUCAUCAGGGAUUAAAAUCAGUGAUGUAACAUACCAAGAUAUUCAUGGAGCAUCUGCAACGAAAAUUGCUGUAAGGUUUGAUUGUAGUCCAAAGUAUCCAUGCUCUGGCAUAAACUUGGAGGAUGUGAAGCUCAUUUACAAGAAUCAACCAGCUGAAGCAUCGUGUAGGAAUGCUGAUGGAUCGGCCUCUGGUUUUGUUCAGCCAAAUAGUUGCUUGAAAUUGUGAAAAAUAAAAUUAAUUCUUGCGUUAAAUUGCGUUUUUUUUUUUUUUCAUUUCCUUUUUAAUGAGCCUAGGAAUGUUCCAUGGGCCUAUCUGAGAAAACCCAUUGGGCUUCUUGGAGGAUGCUUAUACUAAUUGCCGUAUAAGACAAAAUCAAAACUUCACUCCUUUGUACUCAAAGAAAUGCAGUCAUAUGUUUUGGGUAACUAAUGUUUGAUCCGAAAUUCUGCCUAUUGAAACUAUUAAAAUUAUCAUUUCCUAUUAAAAUCAAAUUUGAAAUCGGGAGACGGCCUUUCACCCACCCACUCUGUUUGGGCGAUAGCCCAUUGCCCGGAUUGAGAGAUGGCUAUCGCCCAACCAUCGCUCAAAAAAAAUAAAAAAUUAAUGAAUUCGAUUUAAUGGAGUUUAUGGUAAAAAUUAGUUUUCAUCUUAUUGUCUAGUCUAAUAUAUAAUUUUACUUUUGUAUGUUAAUUUUUUUUAAUCGUAAAGUUAAAUGAUUAAAUAAUAAGUAACGUCGUGGUGAAUAUGAAAAGUAUUAAAGAUCAAAAGAAAUUCUCCUUUCCAAUCAAUAUCCUUUUUCUUUUAUCUUAGUAAUAUAUCAUUCAUUCAUCAUAUACAUGGGUAUGAUCGAAUAAGAAAUUAAUAUGAAACAACUGUCCAAAAUGAUAGGUAGCAUAUAAUUUAAACUGCAAGAUAUUUGAGAAGUGUAGUAAAUAUCUAAGAAUUAUGUAUCCUUCAGUGGCACAUAAUUUAAUUACUUAUUUAAGAAUUUAGAAGUAAUGUAUGUUUGGUAAAAUAGUAUUUAAAAAAUAAGCACAAUUAAAAUCAGCGUACUGGAUUUAAAUUUCAUGCAAACAGAGAAAUCUAAGAUCUAUCUAAGAAUUUGUUUUUUAACUAAAGUUACUAAUUAAGUAAACCAACAAUUGUUUUAUUUUUAAUACAUAGUUUAAUAAUUAUUAAAGUAAAUAAUAUGUUUUCUUAAUCUAGUUUCUCCACCGUUUCUCAUUUUCUCCGGACUCUUCAAUUCUCCCUCUUUUGCUUCAGUGUGAAAAAAUGCGGUCAUACUUUAGUCAAGAUUAGGUGGCAAGCUAGCAGUUAUCAAGCACAAGUAAAACAACGUACUAUACUAGACCAUGAAAAAUGAAACAGAAACAACAACAACAACAAUAAUAAUAAGGGUUUCUCUAUGAUGCUGUAAUUUUUUUACAGCAUCAAUAAUAUUUUUAAUUGUAUAUCAUUGGAUUUAAUCAAUGGUACACAAUAUUUGUAGUAAAAAAAUAAAAAUAAAAAUAAAAAUAAUGGUAACGGUUAACAAACGUGCAAGGGGUGGAGAAUUUUAUAAAAUAACUAUGACCACCCUUAGAGUUUGAAACAAUUUUACUUAAAUAGCAUAUUGUAUUUAAAAUUAAUUUUCAAUCCUCCUUUAAAUUUGAAAUGUGAUAAUCUUUUUUAAAUAAAUCUUCCAAAAUUUAUUACCAUUAAGUAUAAAAUAUAAUGGUAGGUUAUUUAACAUAAAUCAAAUAAAUAAGUUGCAAUUACAAAAUUUAUAUAUGAUAUAAUAGUAAUAAAUAACACAACUAAGUACAUAUACUUAAGUAAAUGUUAUAGUUACAUCAAUAAACUCAUUAUUGAGAUUGCUUGUAACAUAAAAAUUACUUGAUCACACAUGUUUUAAUAAAAUUUAAUAUCGUAUAUUAAAAUACUCAUUAUGUUAUAUAAUAUUAAGGGUCAUUGUAUAAUUGAUCAUGAAGUAUGUAUUAUUUUUAACACCCAUUUAACAUACUUAUUCUCUGAACUUUAUAUUUAUUUUACAAUUAAUAUCCUUACAUGGUAGGAAUUUUAAGUUUUAUAAGCCUAUAUAUUUUCAUUUUAUUUUCAAAUAUCACUUUGUUAAUUUCAUAAAAGUUAAAUCUAAUAUAUAUUCCUAAUGAGAUUUAGUUGAUGAAUCGUGAAAAAUUAUUUUAUUGAUAUCCUUUGAUUGUAAUUAUAAAAUUUUAUGUUAUUAAGAGUCAUUACUUUUGUUAUGAUAAUUAAUAGUGACAAUAAAUAAAAUAUUGCCUCCAAUAAUAUUUACGUGGGAAAAAAAUGAAAGAAAAUCAUUUGUAUUUUUAGAUUUUUAUUGACAUGGUAGGAAAUUAUCUUAGCCUUAUAAAAUUUAACUUUCACAAGCUUGUUUUCAUUUUAUUUUCAAAUGUCACUUUGUUAAUUUCAUAAAAGUUAAAUCUAACAUAUAUUCCUAAUUAACUUUAGUUUAUGAAUCAUUAAAGAUUAUUUUAUUGUUAUUCUUUGAUAGUAAUUAUAAAAUUUUUAUGCUACGAAGAGUCAUUACUUUUAUUAUGAUAAUUAAUAGUGACAAUAAAUAAAAUAUUACAUCAAAUAAUAUUUAAUGGACAAAAUGAGGAAAAAAAAUCAUUGUAUGUUUUUAUAUUUACAUUAUAAAGAUAUGGUUUGAGAUACUUUAACUUAAAAUUUUAGCACAAUAGUUGAGCCACUAAUAUCUCAUAGUCUAAUGGUUGAUAUUGAAAGUCAAAGCAACAUUUCAUAAUGUUAUAUCCUCCACCAUUGAAUUGCAUGAAAUAAAUAGUUUAAUUUUUUGAUAAAAAUUUAAAUCAAAGUAUUUCUCACUCUAUAGUUAUAUAGACAUAUAUAUUUUUCAAUAAUAAUUGGUGAAUAAAAUAUUUCUUAUUUGUUGUGACUCAUAUAGUAUUAUUAAUAAAACACAUAUAAAAUAGUUUAUUGCAAUGCUUUCUAUUAUCAUUAUUGUUUAGGCAUUAAUGGUUUGUAAUUAAAUUCAUACAUACAAUUAUUACAAGACUUUGUGUUAAUAACCUACUUGAUAUUAUAUUUUAUACUUAAUGGUAACUGAUUUUGAAGAUUUAUUUAAAGAGAUUAUCAUAUUNNNNNNNNNNNNNNNNNNNNNNNNNNNNNNNNNNNNNNNNNNNNNNNNNNNNNNNNNNNNNNNNNNNNNNNNNNNNNNNNNNNNNNNNNNNNNNNNNNNNUCUGCUAUCUGCGUUCACGCACAAAGAAAAAACUCUUCAUCUCACCAUUUUCAUCUCUUUGCAUCUCACCAGUUCCGCAUCUCAGUUACCAUAAGGAAGAAGUUAGAUCUAGAUCUAUAAACAGAGAUUUUGAUAAAAUUAGUACUGAUUAAUUAGUAAGUUAGUGACUCUCACUAUAUUCAAAUAAAAUUUUUAUUGUGUUCUAUAUAUUUAAAUGAUUAGAAUAUUUAAUUUAAAUUGUAAAAAUUCGUAAAUUUUUAUUUUUUAUAUAUUUAAAUUGUUAUGAAUUGUUAUGAUUUUUUUAAUUUAAAUGGUUGUUAAAUAAUGGAAUAGAUUAUAACAAUUUCUGAAUGUGUUUUAUGAACUUUAAAUUUUUAAAAUUAUGUUAGAUUUGACUUUAAAUCUUUGAAAUUGUAGUGAUGGAAUAAUAUUUUGUGUUAAAUUAAAUUUUUAAUUUUUGAAAUUAUGUUAGAUUUGUUUAAUUUUGUCCGCUUGCAAUUUAUUUGUUCACGCUAUCAUGAAGUGAUAUUAUAUAGGCAUCGAUGGUUUUUUAAUUAUUACAAAAUAUUAUUUUUUAAUUAUUUAACAAAAAUUGAUACAAAAUAUUAAUUUUGUAUGACUGAGAGAUACAUAGGGUUAAACAGGACGAGUAGAGAAAGGAACGAAUGAAAAAUAAGUGGAAUGAACAAAGUAAUUAACGAGAAUGAAUAGAGGGGACAAAGUGGAGAACGAGUAGUUGAGGAUGAGAAUAAGUGGAUCAGAUUUUAAAUAAUAAAGAUAUUUAAAAAUUUUUCAUUUUUUAUUAUAAUAUUUGUUGUCGGUCCCACAAAAAAAUUGGAUGAGAGCAGGCGUGAAAGAGCAUUUUUUUUCAUUUUUAUUCUUUAUUUUAAUAAUUGUUAUCGGUCCCACAAAAAAAGAAAAUUGAAUGAGGAAAGGCGUGAAACGGCAGCCAAUUUCUGUCGUCCCAUCGUCGUGCUUUCGUCUAUUUACCAUUUCUCGACAUUAUUUACAAAUUGUUCUUAUGUUUCACAGAAAAAUGAAACACUGUUCAUCAUACAAAAUUGCAUGACCGAAUCUUCAAUUUUUAUAAUUAUAAAAUAAUGGAUUAUGUGUAUGUUAAUGUUACGGAUAUGAUCAGAUCAUCAUAUAAGUUACUAGACGCAUUAACAAGAACAAGAUCUAAUGAGCUAAAAGUUUUUUUUUUAAAUUAAAUAAAUAAAGAGUAAAAGUAAAAAAAAAUGUUAUUUGCAAUCACUAAAAUGAAAACAGAGGAGCCCUGUUUUUCCUCUCGUUUCUCUUUCUCUCUUUUUCAAGUAGUAGAAAAUGAUAACAGAGUUUGAGAGCUCACUGCUUUCAUUAGUUGGAAAGUGUCGCCUAAAACACUUCCUCUGCUAGGUGGAAUUGUUGGCUUGAAGAGAAGAGUUCUUGUUACAAGCACAAAUUUUAGCUGUACAUUAUUUCCUUUUAAAUGCACCAUUGUUGCACAGAUUUGAACCCUAUGAUCAUUAGUUUUUUGUUUUGAUUUGGUUAGUUCGUGAUGACAAAUAAAUUAUUUUCAUCACAUUAUGGUAAAAAGUUGCCCUCUUUGUUACUUCCACAGCUAUUUAGUUUAAUAUUUUGUAAUAAGAUCACAAAGUGCAUGGGACCUAUUGUUCGGGUACUUAGCCUAAAAUGAAGAUCUAUUAAAAAUUUCCCUGAUGUCAUGAUAUAAAACAAUAAAAGGUACCAACUUCAGCUUAAAUUCAUAUAAAAUUAAACCUUACCACAUACUGUAUUGAAACAAAUUACUCAUCUUUAUUGGUAACAUCAUCACCUUCAUAAAAUAUAUGGUAUCGUACAAAGUUCUUGCGCUGGGUUCGGGCAUCUAACAACGAGGACACAGCAACCUAUUCGCUAGGUUAGAGACCAAAGAGCCAACAGCAAAUGUGCACGACGCAUGUCACUAUCAUGAAAACAACAUUCUUUUUCUUUUUUUUUUUCUCCUCAAUAAUUUCAGAUAUAAUAUUUUAACUAAGUUUGUAACACUGUUGAUUGAAAUUAUCAAGUACGAAUGUGUGUAGAUUUUAACAUGUGCACUCAUAAUUAUUAUUGUGCAGUUUUAGACUUAGUUGGGUAUUGAGGUGCUAAAACUUUUGCCGUAAGAAAAAAAAGUUUUAAGUAUAAAAUAAAAUUUAAUAGUAUCUAAUAAAUUUAGUUUUUUAAUAAUAUGUUGAGUACAUAAAAGCCCCAGGUCGGCCAUGCUACUAUUUUCACCCCGGCAUGGAUCACCUCAGCCAAAUGGUAUGAGCAGAACGCGGGAUAAACACGAGCCAACCAGAGACGAGUACCGGCCAGGGUAAUGUACCGACCAGAAUCAUAUACCGAGCCGACACCAAUUCCCCAAAAAAGCGGGAACACGAUCCCACAGAAUCACGGUAGUUGCGCUUUUCCCAGAACCGUUGUGGGAGAUGCGAGAUCCCACGUUUGCCCACAAUGUAGCAGUUAAAAUCCCAUGAGAGGCUACCACUACCCGAGAAAGGGGGGGAUGAAGGGUGAGUGAAAACGUGGGACAGCGGCUAUAAAAGAAGAAGAAACCAAUUAAGAAGGGGAGAGAAAAAUUGAGAGAGGGAAAACGCUGCCAAAUUGCAAUCAUGCCAUUUUCUGACAAGACUCCGAAUAAUUUAGAAACCAUUUUUAGAUCUAAAUUGCACUGUUUUCCCGUAAACACCUUGAGCUAACUUAGGCAUUGGAGGGUUUUCGCCGGCAAAACCACCGGCGACUCUGAUCCGUUUUUGGUGAACGCAGGUCUAGUAAGAGAAAGGAGGGUGAUUCCAACCUCAGAGGUUCGAGCAACAGUCGAUAACGUAAACGUUGGUGAAAGAAUCUGGUCGGUCAAAAGGCGAGCAGAUUUAAGCAUCAACAUUUUGGCGCCGUCUGUGGGGAGCUGGAUAAAAAGCUACCACCGAAUUAGUAGUUACCGGAGAAACAACGAACGAUUAGACAUGGAUUUGCCAAGGAAGGACGCUUUGAGGGAGGAUAACGAAUCGGGGGAGACAAGAACCCUUCGGGAAAUUGCAAAUGAAGCCCGAGAGAGGGUGAUGCAAGAUCGAUUGGAAUAGAUGGAGAAGCAAAUGGAGACUCUCGCUACCAUACUGAAUGAGCUGAGAGAUGAGCGGAGAAGGGAUUGCGAAAUCCCCGUGGGGAGAGAUGAUGUGGGAGCAGAACCCAACCUCCGGAGGCGUAGAGUCGAGGAGAUCCCUUCGCCGGUGGACCAACCUUAUGGGGUGCAUCCCCACAGAAGCACUGGUUGAGUUCCUGGAGAACAAAUAGAUGAAGGGAGGAACCAACCUCGCCCCAGGCGAGUACUGGAAGCUGAUGGCCGAGGAGCCAUUGCUGAUGAAGGAGAGUUAAGACAGCGGUUGCAGAAUGUCGAGCAGGAGCGAGAUCAGAUAGCUGCACGUGAUCCUGACCGUGAUGUAGAAUUGGAGGGAGAGGUGCGCAGAUUAGCGCAAGUGAUAAAGGAGAUACAGGGUAAGAGGAAGCCCCCGAGCUGGAGGAUAAUGCUAGAUGAAGAAUCUCCACUAUCAACUGAGAUCGUGGGUACCAUAAUCCCAAGAGAUUUCCGCUUCCCCGACCUCAAAUACUCCGAGCGAAGUGACCCGCUGGUGCACAUUGAGCGUUUCAACGACAUGAUAGGUGUGCAGGGGCUGACACCAGCUCAGAGGUGCAGGGUGUUCCCGUUGACAUUAGAGGGACGAGCCCGAGAAUGGUACCGCAAGCUGCCCCGAGGAAGUAUAAAGGGGUAUGAGCAGAUGUGCCAGGAGUUGGCCGAGUAGUUCCGAGGGGCAGUGGCCCCAGAGGACGACAUGAUGGAACUGAUGAGGAUGAAACAGGAGGAGCAUGAAUCCCUUCGAGAUUUUAUAAAACGAUAUCACCGAGCCGUGCUGGAUCUGGGAGCUUUUAAUCACCCGCAGGCGUUGAGGGGAUUAAAAGAAGGUGUAAGAAUCGGCCGACUGUGGUAUAACUUAAGAAGCCCCUUUGUACAGAAUUACUCAUCAAGGUAUGAGCAGGCGAGGCAAGAUAUAGAAAUCGAAGAGGAGAAAUCGGCAAGAAUAAAAAGUGAACAGUUGGACGAGCUGAGGCGAAAGGAAUGGAGAGCCCCGACCGGGAGCGGGUCGGGAAAACGAGCUGGAGAAUCUUCAGUGAUGGGCGGAAUAUCGGCUCGGUCCCGCCCUUACCCCAUAGCUCCGAGAUCACAGCAGUUCCAGCACAACCGGGCUCAACCUCCGCGUCCCCCAUUUCCGGAUCGGCAACGAGAAUUCCGGCAGAUGGCUGCCCACCCCUAUCACAACACUCCCAGAGCAUUCUAUGCAACCAAUUCCAGGACUAGUUGACCAGAUCAGUUAGCGACUGUGCCAGCCCGAGGUGAAAUUCAUGAUAGUCGAACAGUUCAGCUGGUAGACCAGAGCUUGGCGUAUAGACAGUAUACUCCAUUAAAGAUCUCCAUGGAGGAAUUGUAUGAGAGGAUCGAGGGACGAGGCCUGCUGUACCCUCCAGCCCCUAUAACAAAACCGGCUCACCGACGGGAUAAGAGCAAAUUCUGCAAAUUCCACGACACUCAUGGUCACACUAUCAGCUAAUGUCGUGACCUGAAAAUUCAGGUGGAGGAUUUGGUGAGAAACCGUUAUUUGGACGAAUAUGUAGAUGGAAUGUCCCCCGUCACUGAAUCACAAUACACGUGGGAUGAAGAGGCUGAGAUGGGCCUGGAACGUGAACAGCUGACUAUCCGUGUAAUAGCAGGGGGGCCAACAUUGGCUGGGGAUUCGAACAGGGCACGGAAGAACUAUGGGAGAUAUGCCCUGACUAGCAAAGAAGUGCUUUUCAAUUUGCCGGCAACCAAGAAGGCAAAAGUGCGGCAAGUUCCCAUUAUGUGGACAGAUGACGAUGAAGAGGGUAUCUUAUAUCCGCAUGAGGAUGCAUUGGUGAUCAAGGCAAUGGUGGCUGGUGCAGAAUUGCGACAAAUACUAGUAGACACAAGCAGCUCGGUUGACAUCCUGUUUAAGUCGGCUCUAGAUGAUAUGGGGAUUGCAGACUUGAAAUUGGAGCGGACAAAUACAUCUUUAAAGGGAUUUGGAGGGGGACGGUUAACUCCCAUGGGGAUCAUCGAACUCCCAAUUACUAUGGGGACGAAGCCAUUUGAAAGAACAAUGAUGCUGGAUUUUGUCGUGGUAGAGGAAAGAAGCCCUUACCAGAUGAUACUGGGGAGACCAUUCAUGAGGAUAAGCCAAUGCGUUGUAUCCACGCAUUACUUGGCACUGAAAUACAGAGUAAAUGGGGUGGUUGGCGUAGUAAAAGGCGACAAGAGGAUGGCAAGGAGUUGUUAUGCUACAGCGGCCAAGGAGACACUGCAGGUUACUUCUCUAGAUAAUCGAGGAGAGUCCAAAAAGGGCUGCCAAGAGCCUGUUGAGAAACUGGAGGAAGUUGCGGUAAGCAAAAGCAACCUGAGCAGAGUAGUGAAGAUCGGGUCAGGAUUGGUUGGGGCAGUAAAAGGCGAGCUGAUAAAUUGCUUACAGUCUCAUGCGGAUAUAUUCGCCUGAUCUCAUGAAGAUAUGCCCGGAAUUGAUCGCGGGGUAGCUUGCCACAAGUUGGCAAUCAAGAAGGGGGCAAGGCCGGUGAGACAGAAGAGGAGAUGCUUCAACCAGGAAAGGUACGAGGCCAUAAACGCCGAGGUGGAGAAGCUGUUGAAAGCAGGAUUUAUAAGGGAAGCCAAGUACCCAGAAUGGAUUUCAAAUGUAGUCCUGGUAAAAAAGGCCAACGGGAAGUGGAGAAUGUGUGUGGACUUCACGGACCUCAAUAAGGCAUGCCCAAAGGACAGCUUUUCCCUACCCAAAAUAGAUCAGCUGGUGGACUCAACAGUAGGUCACAGUCUGCUCAGUUUCAUGGAUGCCUUUUCUGGAUACAACCAGAUACCCAUGGAUGAGCAGGAUGAGGAAAGCACUGCCUUUAUAACUAACAUGGGUUUGUUUUGCUACAGGGUAAUGCCUUUCGGCCUAAAAAAUGCAGGAGCCGCCUAUCAAAGGUUGGUAAACAAGAUCUUCAAACCGCUGAUUGGACACACUAUGGAGGUAUAUGUGGAUGAUAUGAUUACAAAGUCCAAAGAGCCGAGGGAUCAUGUGAAGCAUCUAGAAAAGACCUUUGAAUUACUGAGGAAGUAUGAGAUGAAACUAAACCCGGAGAAAUGUGCAUUUGGGGUCAGCUCGGGCAAAUUUCUGGGAUUCCUGGUAAGCCACCGAGGGAUUGAGGCCAACCCCGAAAAAAUACGAGCGGUUACAGAUAUGAGAUCUCCGCAGACAGUUAAAGAGGUGCAGAGCCUUACAGGGAAGUUGGCAGCAUUGAACCGAUUCAACUCGAGGGCCACAGAUAAAUGCCACCCUUUCUUCCAAAUCAUAAAGAAAGGGAGAAAGAUGGAAUGGACAUCAGAGUGCGAGGAAGCAUUUGGGCAGCUGAAGGAAUAUCUGGCCUGUGCACCGUUACUGUCAACUCCGAGAGAGGGUGACCAGCUGCUUUUGUACUUGGCAAUCUCCAAGCGGGCUACCAGCUCGGUUUUAGUCAGGGAAGAAUAAGGGAAGCAACACCCGGUAUACUACACGAGCAAGGCCCUGGUGGACGCAGAAACCAGAUAUCCACUAAUGGAGAAGUGGGCGCUGGCUCUGAUAACGGCAGCACGCAAACUCCGACCAUAUUUCCAAGCCCACCAGAUCGUUGUGAUGACUGACCAGCCCCUUCGGCAAGUGCUUCAAAAACCAGAUGCGUCUGGUCGGUUAGUAAAAUGGUCCGUGGAGCUGAGCAAAUUUGACCUGUCCUACAGGCCCCGAGGAGCAAUCAAGGCCCAAAGCCUGGUAGAAUUUAUGGUAGACCGAGCUGAGCCAGGGGAAGGAGAUCGGGAGGAGCAACCGUUAGAGCAGGAGAAAACAAAGGGGAUGUGGUUGGUAAUGGUUGACGGAUCAUGUAGUGAGCAAGGAUCCGGAGCAGGGGUUGUAAUACGGAGCCCAGAAGGAUCCGAAAUAACGUAUGCAGUGAAGUUCGAAUUUCAGCUCGCAAACAACCAAGCUGAAUACGAAGCCUUUAUCACCGGGCUCGGACUCGCACACGCCUUAAAAGCGGAGAGGGUAGAAAUUCGAGCAGAUUCCCAAUUGGUAUGUAAUCAGCUCAAUGAUCAGUUCCAAGCAAGGGGAGAGAAGAUGGGCCUUUAUUUGAAGAAGGCGAAGCAGAUGGUCGGGCUUUUCCAAGAGGUGGAGGUAAAGCAGAUAUCCCGGAAUGAGAAUUACCGAGCGGAUAUGUUGGCUAGGAUGGCUGCAAUUGCAGACCCGAAAUUACCUAAGUCGGUUCCACUAGAGGUAAGGACCUCACCGAGCAUAGGGGAGGAAGUGGAGGUGAUGAGAGUAAGCACUAGAGAAUCCUGGAUGGACCCGAUUCACGCGUAUGUCCGCGACGGAGUUUUGCCUGAGGACAAAAGGCAAGCGAGAAAGUUAAAAUGCCGAGCAGCGAGGUACACGCUACUAGAUGAAGUGCUGUACCGCCGAGGGUUCACCUUGCCCCUUUUGCGAUGUGUGGAUGAUGAGGAGGCAGAUUAUGUACUAAGGGAGAUUCAUGAAGGAAUUUGCGGCAAUCACUCGGGAGCAAGAACUUUAGCCUUCAAGGCACUCCGGCAAGGGUACUUCUGGCCAACCAUGCACCAGGAUGCAAAAAAGAUGGCAAAAAACUGUAAAACGUGCCAAAGCUUCUCUGAGGUCCCCACACAACCCCCAGAAAAGCUGACCACUAUGACAUCCCCAUGGCCUUUUGCACAAUGGGGAAUCGACCUGAUUGGUCCGUUACCGAAAGGCCGAGGAGCGGCAACCCAUGCAAUUGUAGCAGUAGACUACUUCACCAAGUGGAUAGAGGUGGGGGUCCUUAGCCAAAUCACGGAGAGAAAGACAACGGAUUUUAUCUGGAAGAAUAUCAUCUGCAGAUACGGAAUCCCUUAUACCAUCAUCACCGAUAAUGGGAGGCAGUUUGACAACAACAACUUCAGAGAGUUUUGCCGAAACCUAGGGGUAGACCUGAAGUUCUUCACCCCCGCACACCCUCAGGCAAACGGACAAGUGGAAGCAGCCAACAAAGUGGUAAAGAAACUCCUGAAGACUAGACUGGGAGAGAAGAAAGGAGCUUGGGUCGAUGAGCUACCAGGGGUAUUGUGGGCUUACCGGACAACUCACAAAACCGCUACAGGGGAAACCCCGUUUGCCUUAGCUUUUGGUCAUGAGGCGGUAGUCCCCGCAGAAAUUGGAGUAGGAACACAUCGGACGGAAUACUUCAAUGAGGAGCAAAAUGGAGAGCAGAUCUGCUUGAGCCUGGACUUGCUGGAGGAGAAAAGGGAAGGGGCUUCGCAGAAAGUGGCCCAGUGUCAGCAAAGGGUCACGCGUUAUUACAACAAGAACGUACGCGUGAGGCAGUUCCGAACAGAAGAUUGGGUGCUCAGGAAGGUGAGCCAAAACACUAGGGAUCCCAACCAUGGAGCUCUUGGUCCGAAAUGGGAAGGCCCGUACAGGGUGAUAUGAGCAACUGGACCAGGAGCCUACAAGCUGGCGUAUCCAGACGGACGAGAGGUGAAGAGGUCGUGGAACGCCGAGCACUUGAAAAAGUACUUCCAGUAAGCAAAGUGCUCUAAUAGUUUUCAUUUUGACAAGUUAUUUCUGUUAUGAGCACGGUGAUUUGUGACACACACAUAUAUCCCACAUUUCUGUAACGCAUUCGAAAUUCAAUAAAGAUGAAUUCAGUAUGGAACCUUUCUGCUAACAAGCUCAUUAAAUGUUUACUAAGGCAAGUAAAUGCCUGUUUCUGCUCGGUCAACGAAAGACUAGCAGCUAAUCUACGAAAAUUCUACUAAGGCAAGUAAAUGCCUGCUUCUGCUCGGUCCACGAAAGACGAGCAGCUAAUCUACGAAAAUUCUACUAAGGCAAGUAAAUGUCUGCUUCUGCUCGGUCAAUGAAAGACCAACAGCUAAUCUACGAAAAAUCUACUAAGGCAAGUGAGUGCCUGCUUCUACUCGGUCAACGAAAGACCAGCAGCUAAUCUACGAAGGCAAGUGAGUGCCUGCUUCUGCUCGGUCAACAAAAGACCAGCAGCUAAUCCUACGAAAAUCCUACUAAGGCAUGUAAGUGCCUACUUCUGCUUAGUCAACGAAAGACCAGCAGCUAAAUUUAUGAGACUUUUACUAAGGCAAAUAUGUGUCUGCUCCUGCUCAGUCACCGAAGACCAGCAGGCAAUUUUGCAAAAAUUUUUACUAAGGCAAACGGAUGCCUAUUCCUGUUCGAUGCACUAAAGAACCAACAGGCAAAACCGGACAAGAAAGCCAAUAGAGAGCAUUUAAAAUUUUUUAUAAACGUUCAAAUGUUUACAAAGCAAAUGAAAAACUAGAGUCUUUACAAAAAUAGACCUAAGGAUUAGGAGGAUCAACGGCCUCAGUAGGUGAAGGGUCAGCUAUCUCGGGAGGUGGAAGAUUAGCAAUAUCGGGAGGAGGAGGCACGGACCCCUGCCCCACUUCAAAAACACGCUGCCCAGCUUCUCCCUCCUGCACCCCAUUCAAAGGAACCUCCACCUGCUCCUGCUCAUCCUGCUCCUUAUCUCCCUGGCCGGCCCCAGCCAUAUACCUCUCCACCCCAGAUUCCAGCUUGCUCAUGUCGAGCUCGGGGUAUUCUUCCUUGAGCAUAGACAUGAUGCACUUAUAGCUGAAAGCAACCCCGGAGUUAUACUCAGCAUCCAACCGAUCAUCCACAUCAGCGGAUUUGCCUUUCUCUUCAGCCAGCUGGUCACUCAGGGAUUUGAUCUCUCCCUCAAGGGCGGUCCUUAGAGUAUCUCUUUCACUUUAAGUAGCCUGAAGAUCGGACUUCAAAUCACCCAACUCACCCUCAAGCUUGGAGGAAAUAGACUCAGUAACCGCAACUUUCUCUUCAAGCUCUGUAAGCUGCUUGUUCAGCUCGGCCAGCUUCUCCUUGGACCGAUCAGCAGAUUCGGCUUUCUUUUUCAAUUCCUGGUUAUCAGCUUGAAGUUUCCUCUCAUGACGCGCGGACCCGGACUUGUAGCACGAGACCAUUGUGGCCAGCCUGAAGGAGACUCUUUGAACAGAAGCAGCUAACUUGGAGAGGUUCAUGCUCUCGAUGUCCUUCACCAUCUUGGGCCCAACCGAUUUUUUAUAAUCUUUCUGAUAUGGGCUCAGGUAGUCACCUUGAUCCCGAGAUGGAAGAGGAGAAGAUCGGUCCCCAGACUGCAAGCUGACCUCAGGACUCUUGUCAGAGGUUUUCUCCCCACCACUCUUACGGGGUGGGGGAGGGGGCAGAGCAGGGACAGGAGCCUUGGAGGGGCCGACACUGGUCUUCUUUGGAGGAGGAGGAGGGUUGCUGGAGUUGCUUGGAGCUCGACCACGCUUUCGGGACAGAGCGCUAAGAAUCUUGUUAUCCAUUCCGGCAGCUAUGUCCACCAAACCCGAACCAACCAGGGCUGUCGGUGACAGGAGAUCUUGGCAGGUAGAUGCGUUCACCAGAGCAGUUUCCACCUGGAGUAGAGGUCGGUCUUCAAGCCCCUUUAUCAAACCCCACGACUCUGAAAGAACAAACAAGGUUAAAGAACCCAAUAAGUAACAAGUCGAGAAAGAGUAUAGGCAAAAAAUGAACGACUUGGGGUGACAAAAUGUGUUGGAAGGUAAAUAUCACCACCCAACGAAUGAGCUACUGGACACCAAGCUCCCCCAGCAAAGAAGAAUUUGUUCUUCCAAUUUUUGCACGAGGAGGGGAAGCCGGUGAUUGGUUUCCUCUUCGCAGAGCUCGACAUGAAGUAAUACCAGCCUGCUUCCUUCGGGCUACUCCUCAACUGGUAUAGAUGCUUCACUUCAACGAGGGAGGGCUCCUCUGAUUCACACCUCUUCCACAACACAUACAUAGCCGAAAGAACCCUCCACCCAUUGGGAUGUAGCUAACCUGGGGCCAGGUGCAUACCACCCAAUAUCUUAGCAAAAUAACGUUGAAGGGGCAGCCGAGCUCCUAAUUUGAAGCUCUCCAGGUGCAUCGUCACAUACCCCCGCAGAGGCCGACUAGGGACGUCACCUUUUCUUGGAACUACCAGGAGAAUCUCCGCAGGAAUGUCGUAAAGGUUCCUCAACUUGAACAGAUCAGUUUGUGUGGUGGCACAAGCUGUGUAGUCAAUAGGGUAAGAAUCCGCCUCUACCCUAUGACCAAGGUGCCUCCUCUGAGGGGGUCCGCUCGGUCCGGAACUGCUCCCCUCAUCGUCACCAACUCCUUCAGGGACCCCAAUCCUACCAAAGCUGGGGUUCUCACCAGAGCCCGACGCAGGUCCACCUCUAUUCCCUACAAGCUCUAGUUCAGGGGAGGGAGAAACAGCCAAGGGGUGUGGAUACUCAAGGAUAUCCCUACCGUGGGAGGGACCUAUACUACGGGAGGGUCCUACACUACUAGAGGGGCGUAAAAAAUCGGUGGGUAUCGACAAGUUAAGGUCUGAAUCCCCUGUUUCCUCGUCACUCUCAUCAGCAAUCAACUUCCUUUUCCGCAUCGACAUAUCAAAAUCCCAAAAGAAAACAAAGCAAAACUCGAGUAUACGGACACAAAAGGGGCAGCACAGAACCCAACCAACAACAACCAGAGAAGAAAUUAAGAGCUAUACCUGGAAUAAGCGGGCACUGAUAGCGCGGCUGUGACAGAAGAACGCCCAGUAAAUGGAUACUCCGGACGCGGGAAGUAUAAAAAAAAAAAAAAAAAUUCACAGAGGGGGCUGGUUAACGGUGGAGAAACGGAUAAACAAAGCAAUGAGGAUUUCAACCUAGGGAUUUGAAGUGAAAAGGGGAAAAAUAGAAGCAUUUAAGUGAUGAGGAUGCCAGCUCACUCACUACAUAUCGAGGGUGGAUAGCCCGUCGUUUCAAAUUUCAAAUACGAAGAGUCUGGAGAUGCCACGUCACUAACCGUUACAAGAGGCCAAGAUAGAUGUAAGCCCAGAUAUGCAAUGGACAUGUUCACUUAGGCCCAUGCUCAAGUCGGAGUCUCCCUAGAAGAAAAAUAGUACAUCAGGUCAGGCCCGUCCCAAUAAAUAGAGGACCAGAUGAGAAGCUCCCCGGGUUGGUGAGAUUUGACCAUCAGUUUCUACUCUUAACUCAUUUCACUCGCCAGACCAGAAACUGGGGGACUGGUGUUGAGUACAUAAAAGCCCCAGGUCGGCCAUGCUACUAUUUCUAUCCCGGCAUGGAUCACCUCAGCCAAAUGGUAUGAGCAGAACGCGGGAUAAACACGAGACAACCAGAGACGAUUACCGGCCAGGGUAAUGUACUGACCAGAAUCAUAUACCGAGCUGACACCAAUUCCCCAAAAAAGCGGGAACACGAUCCCACAGAAUCACGGUAGUUGCGCUUUUCCCAGAACCGUUGUGGGAGAUGCGAGAUCCCAUGUUUGCCCACAAUGUAGCAGUAAAAAUCCCAUGAGGGGCUACCACUACCCGAGAAAGGGGGGGAUGAAAGGUGAGUGAAAACGUGGGACAGCGGCUAUAAAAGAAGAAGAAACCGAUGAAGAAGGGACAGAAAAAAUUGAGAGAGGGAAAACGCUGCCAAAUUGCAAUCAGGCCAUUUUCUUACAAACUCCGAACAAUUUAGAAACCAUUUUAAGAUCUAAAUUGCACUGUUUUCCCGUAAACGCCUUGAGCUAACUUAGGCAUCGGAGGGUUUACGCCGGCAAAACCACCGGCGUCUCUGAUCCGUUUUUAGUGAGCGCAGGUCUAUUGAGAGAAAGGAAGACGAUUCCAAUCCCAGUGGUUUGAGCAACAGCAGAUAACACAAGCGUUGGUGAAAGAAUCUGAUCAGUCAAAGGCGUGCAGAUUUGAGGAAUCUGGUCGGUCAAAAGGCGAGCAGAUUUAAGCAUCAACAAGCAUCAUGAAAUGUUCAAGACAUGCUGAUAUCAAUCAUGGAGGUUGUCUUUUUACGAUUAGAUGUGAGUCCAAAAUCAGGACCCACAAUGCACACAAUGUGUCAAUUGAUUUUAAGAAAAUCCAGACAGUCAAAUUUUUCGUUUUCGUUUUUAUUUUCUUUUUUCUUUUGUAUUUUAUUUUCGUUUUUCGUUUUUGUUGAAUUAAACAUGACUUUUGAAACUUAUGAUGUUAGAAACCCCAUGCCUUAACAUUAAGAAACAGAAAUUGGAAAAUAGAGGUUGUCAUAAGAUAAAUUAAUAUUCAUUAACAUUAUGAGUUUCUACGUGCGAAAAGAGACAGCAAUACUUUCGGCGCAUUGUAAGAGCUGCCACUAGCAAGCCCAAUGGGCGUAGUUUUACAAAAUCGAACAACCUUAGUACUAAGUAUAUUGAACGGCUUCUUAUGCCCUUUUUUUUUCAUUUUCUUUUUAAUUCUGCGUACUACUAACUAUAUAAUCAUGAUCGGCUUCCUAUGCCUUUUUUUUCCUACUCAAAUACUUUUCAUAACUCCAAGUCUUCAAGUCUUCAAGCAACUAUUUGGCAGAAUAAAUCCAGAGGCCGAUCCAUCAGCGUUGGCACAGGAAGCUUCAGCUGGUUGAUUCUUGUAAAUGAGCUUCACAUCCUCCAAGCUAAUUCCACUGCAUGGAUUCUUCGAACUGCAAUCGAGCUUUACUCCAACUUCCGUUGCCGAAGUUCCAUGAAUAUCUUGAUAUAUAACAUCACUGAUUUUAACCCCUGAAGCCUAUUGAACAAGGGAAAAAAAAAUUUAUUGAGUUUUAUUUUAUUCACAUCAACGUUCAAAUAAUUACAUUUACAAACUUUAGAUAAAUAAAUAUCGUACCUGUCCAGGGCAAUUGUUGUUGUCAGGGCAGUAAUUUUGAUCAAUUAUGAUUGGAUUAUCGACAUUGUUCAUAAGAGCAUGUUGGAAAAGAAUGUUCCUGGCAAAUCCAUUGCUUGGUCUCCCCCAGGACUUAAUCCUCACUCCAUUUUUAGUGCCCGUAAAUGUCACAGCUGUUACUGUCACAUUUUGCACUCCAGCCUCUUGUUGCUCUUUGCCUAAGCUGCCAAUGCUGCAACAAAAUUACAAUAUCCAAUUUAAUCAGCACUAAAUAUUUAUACCACCAAAAAUAAAGAGAAAAAAAAAUUAUUAUGCUUUUUAAUUUUACCUAAUACCAUGGCCAGGGCCACAAGCGACAUUCUCAAUCCAUAAAUUGGUGGCGCCUGGGCCAACUGAUACACAAUCAUCACCGGUCCCAAUUUUUGAGUCCAAAAUUGUGACAGCACUUGAUGAUUGAACGUGAAUGCCAUCGGUGUUGGGGCUGUCACCGGAGGCCGAAACUUUGACCCCUUGUACUUUCACAUGGUUGCAUCCGUUGAUGACAAUAUGAAAUUUCUGGCUAUCUACGGAUGCUAAUCCGUUAAUCACAACGUUGUUUGAGUUGCUAAAGCGAAGUGUCUGCUCAUGUAUAUACAAAAGAAGGAUUAUUUACUCUAAUAAUUAAAGUAUAAAGCCAAUCAAUAUGACAAGCCAAAAGGCACUUGAUUUAUGACUGGAUAUAGGAUGAUAUUUCAACUUAAUUACCGUAGCGCCACUGGGGCAAUUACUAUUGUCUGACUUUUUACAAGCCCACAAGCCAGCACCUUGGCCAUCAAGAACGCCGCCAUUAAUAGAAACCCCAUUAACAUGCUCAAAUAAAAUCCAGUUUUCGGCAUUUCCAAUAACAUGAUAAUCAGCUGGAGCCACCAGAGUCCCGUCAAUACGUAUGGUAAUAUCAUUGUUCUUGCAUUGGCCCUGAAACACAGCAUUGUGUAGUAAGUACCUCCCCGGUGGCACGUAAAUGGUUGCGGCCUCCGCCGAGCCACAGGAUUUAGCCCAUGCAGCAAGAAAGGAUUUUGCUGAGUCAGUCCGGCCAUCGGGUCUGGCUCCAAAGCUCAGCACAUUGUAACUCAAGGGAAUUGCUAAAGAUGAACUAAAGAAGAGAAUCAAAAGAAAUGUUAAAAAACUAAUAGGCAAAGACGUUGAUGUUGACAUUGUUUCAAAGCUUAAAUUUACUGAUAGAAAUGAGAGAAAUAGAUUUGAGAUGUUGAGGAGUUGGUGUUAAGUUGAAAAGAUUUAAAUGGGUAUUUAUAGGAUUUGAAUGAACUGUAGAAAUGGCAAUAGCACUAACAGUGAAUGCAAUCUGCGCCGAAUUUUGGGAGUGAUUUUUGCGUUAACUAAUGCGAUCUUAAUUUACUACCCUUUAACCGAAAUUUGGAUGAUGUUUGAUGACAGAAGCAUCAAAUUCAUACAAAAGACAAGUGCAUAUCUAUAUCUGGUUUGGUAAGAUGGGAGAUUUCAAAGGUAGUUAAUAAAUUAACAGAAAAAAGUGCUUAUCCAUUUUCUGCUUUUCUGCUGCUAUCUAAAAUUAUGCCCGUAUGUUGCUUUUUUGAGAGAAUAAAUUAGACACAAAAUAAAUAUAUAAUAUUCAAAGUUCAGCUCUAGUUACAUAUGGAAAAUGAAUCCGGAGCGCAGUUCCACCAACAUCAACUAUUGAUUUUUAAGAAAAAUAUUAAAAAGCCACGCGAAAAAAUGAAAAUUUCAAUGAAAGUGGAUAAAAUGCGUUGCGAAUAUGGGUUAUGCAGCAAGACACAUCAGUGCUGACAUUUUUUAUACUAGAUUAAUGAAAUGUCAUAAAGUUUCAAAGAAAACAAAUAUUUUUUCUUAUUUUAUCAAAGAUUAUUCAAGUGGGAAGCAGUUUCAGACUUUCAGUCCACCGUGUGCAUUUUCGUUAAUGAUAUUAUUAUUUUCUUUUUAUUUAUUAUAACUAGCCGUAAUUUUGCUACUUUCGAAAUGGAUAUUUGACAUAAGUUCAACCUUUUUUUAUUUCUUUUGUUACAAUUUUGAUGCAUAUUACUGUUUGACUUGUUUCAAUUACUCAGAUUAAGCAAACAAUCAAGCCACAUUACUAGGUUAUCAAGAAAGAGCAGUUACCAGUUAGGUCCCUCUGCACGCCAAAUUCAACACCGAAGGGAUAAAUCCUAUGUCUCAGGUCAAAGACGUGACUUAUUUUAGUCAAUUGCUUUUUUAUUAAUCAAAAUUUAGCAGAAGUUAAUUAAUCGACUACAAGUUCACCACAUGUGGAUUUCAACUGCCCAACUGAAAAAAGGUUUAUGAGUGUUGACCAAAUGAUUUUUUUAUACAUUACUAGUUGUUUAAGGGAUUUAGUUUCGCAUGGUACCAUUAAUUCUUAAGAGUUAUUAGCUAACCCACUGGUAACUUCUAUUGAUGGUAUCAUUUUAAUAUUUUUAUUAAAAAGAGUUUGGAUUGUUGUGCGCGGAAUGGAAGUUUGGGAAGAAAACUCCUGAUAUUAUAUUAUCAUUUUAAUAUUCUUAUUGUUUUAAGUAUUUACGACAUCAAUUUAUGGUAAUAUUUUGCAGCAUUGGGAGUUUGGGGAAAGAUUUGAGUGAAGCUGGGGGGCAAAAUGUGACAUUUAUAGGUACACAAAAUGGACUAAGAAUAAAGUCAUGGAGGAGACCAAGCAGUGGUUUUGCCAGAAAUAUCCUUUUCCAACAUGCAGUCAUGAAGAAUGUCCAAAAUCCCAUCUUUAUUGAUCAAAAUUAUUGCCGUAAUAACGAAGGAUGCCCUGGCAAGGUGAGAUAUCAAAAGGAUAUUUAAUUAAACUUAAGUAACAUAUUGUAUUAUUGCAAUACACAUACCAAUUAGUGAUGUAAUUGGUGAUGUAACAAGUUUCAGGGAUUAGUGAUGUAACAUACCAGGAUAUCCAUGGAACAUCAGCAACAGAAGUACCUGUAAAUUUUGAUUGUAGUUCAAAGAACCCAUGCUCAAGGAUAAAAUUAGAAGACGUCAAGCUUACGUAUAAAAAUCAACCGGCGGAAGCAUCCUGUAUGCUGAUGGAUCUGCCUCUGGAUUAGUUCAGCCCACAAGUUGCUUGUAGUUGUCAAAAGCAUUUAUGCUUGUAAUAGCAUAGGGUUUAUUUGUUCCUUGAGCCUGUGGUGUUGCCAUCAGCAUUACUAUUGUAAAAAAUUUCAUUAACUAUUUUGGAUAUUCUUGUCACCAUAUUUAAUUGGUUCUAAAUUAAAUAUGAUUACUUUCUUUAAAUUGUGAAAUAUUGAGAUUUUGCAUUUUGAUUGGCUACAGAUGUUGCUUUUUUUUUUUUUUUUUUAAUGGUUCUCGAGUGAAAGUAAAAGUUGUUGAAGGAAGAAACAGAAUAAUCCUGAUAAUUAAAAAUAUUGGAAAUCUCAAUUUUAAAAUCCAAAAAUUGGAAUAGAAUAGCCGUUUAUAUUUUUUUCGAGAAACACUUAGAUGCGACAACUGCAAUAAAAUUUUUUAAUAAAUGUUUGACAUGUGUUUCAAGUGAAUUUUAUCUUUCUAUUAUGAUUAAUCAACUCCUGAAAAAGAAAAUAUAUAAAUGUUAUUGGAUGGGCACAUCGAUAACUGAGGUGCACCCUCCCAAUGUAAGUACACUCUGUCAAACUUUAAAAUUUUGAAAAGGGAAAAAGUCACUAACACCCCCAAUGUUUGUUUAAAUAAUCAAACAGAUGCUUUUAGUUUCAUAAAUAGUCACCGAAAUCCCCUUAAUUUCAUAAAUGAUUAUUAUACCCUUUUAUUAUAACAUCUCAAAUAAAUAUAAAUUUAGUAAUAAGAUAAAAGGUAAUAAAUAAAUAUCAUAUGAUACAAAUUAAAUAUUCUAAUAAGUAUAAUUAUUAAAAUAACAUGUAUAAUGAAAAUUAUUUUUAAUAUUAAGUUAUUAUUAGUCUAUCCCAACAGAUUUUAUUAAUUAAAAUAUAUGAAUCCAAAAAUUGACUUUAAGAUUUAUAGUAAUAUAGAGAUAAUUAAAAACUAUAUUGUCAAUAAAAUAAUAUAAAUUUUAUAAAUAACUGUGAAUGUUAGUAUAAUUAUUUUAAUAUUAUUAUAAUGUCAAAUAUAUUUUAUUAUUAUGAAAAGAAUAUGACAGAUUAAUAAUGUUAGAAUAACUUUUCUAACAUUCAAAAUAUUUUAAAAAAUUUAUCUUAUUUUAUAUAUUUAUCAUACAUGUUUAUUUAAAGUCAAUUAUUGAGUUGCUGUAAUUAAGUAUUUAAUAGUUAAAAAAGAGUCUAUGCAACAAUUUAUGAUAUUAAGGAGAUUUGUUUAAUCAUUUAAGUAAACUUUAGGGGUGUGGAUGCCUUUCCCCUUGAUUUUUGACUUGUUAAAUUUUUAAUUUUUUUAAAAAGCAACCUUCCUAAAGUGAGAAAUUUAUUAAAUAAAGAAGAAAGAGAAAAAUAGUUUAGAGGAUAGAGUGAGCCUUACCUCUUAAAAAUUACCAUCGUUCUAGAAUAAGAAAAUAUACAUAAAAUAUAAUAGAAAAAAUAUAUAUUAAUAUAAAAUAACCAUCCUAAAUGAAACAAGCCAAUUAACUGAAUCUAUAAUUGGAGAAGCCAUCAGUCUAUAAAGAAAGAAACUUCCGAAUGACCAUAGGAGGAUCUCCCAAAUUCGCAAGACAAUCAGUAACACUGUAAUUCUUCCUAGAAGUGUGAUAACAUUGGAACAACAUGGGAGAAUAAAUUAAGUUUUGCAGUUGAUCAAGGGGCAGGCGAAGACAAUGAACAACAACCAAAUAGCUACAUUCUAACCAAAGCCAAAAACAAAUUAAUUAUAUAAUCGCUCCCCCCAAUUGGCAUGUAGAGGCUUAUAUACCUUGUGGUUUUAGCUCCACGCUUUAUCUUUAUUGAGUCCGAGCGUUUAGAUCAACCCCAUGUGUGUCAUGGGAGUAGAAUUUGUCAUUGUUGUGAGUAGAUCUCUUCUUCCAUGAAGAAAUUAAAUUUUUCAGGUGGAUAGCCAUAAGCUUUCAGAUGGGCACUAACAAAGCAAGUCUUUGACGGACUUCUUGUGCGACUUUGAAUAGAUUUCUAUUUGGCCGUUCAACAUAAUCAACAAUUACGGUACACCCCUGCCCUUAAUGUAAGGUUUUAAAAGAGUAGUGUAAUAAUUUAUAAUUACAUCAAACACCCGGCAAAAACAUGUAAUGAGGUAGGUUUAACCUAAAUUAAUUUUUAGCCCCCUACUGCUACGAAAUUCGAAUUAAAGUGACAGUUAAGUGAAAUUGUUUAAAAAUUGAACUACUCGGUUCAAUUUCUUAUUGAUGUAGGACGGUUGAGUGGGAUAAGUAGGGUACUUUCCUGAGGUCAUAAUUUGGGCUACAUGUAUCCCUUUUUUUACAUAUAAUAUACCGUUUCGAAAUUUAUGACAAGAUGAACCAAACCCAAAAUUAUCUUCUAGUUCUGCCCUGCCGUCAAACCAAUAAUUGUGAACAAAAAAGUUGAAAUAAUUAGUAAAAUAGUCAUUUGAUUUUUUGUUUGAAUGUUACAUAAAUGAGGUUGAACUGAUGCAUGGUUAUAUAUAAUAUCAAGGUUUGCUUUCUUUAUCCAUACUAAUUUCUUUGAAUUCUUAUUAAUUAAUAAGGAAUCUUCCGUUCAAAACUUUAAACUUCAAUUUAUAAUUUGAGGCAUUAUUUUUUAUGUGUUAACUUAUGAAUUAUGUCUGUUACUUUCGUAUUAAGAUUUAUCCAUUGUUAAUUUAUUAAUUAUGAUUAUCAAUUUUCAAGCAUAAUUUAGGUUUUUGUAUAUGAUUGAAUUAGAUGGUGUAAUAUAUAAUUUUUUUGGUAUUUUCAUUCAUUUAAGAUUUGAAUAGCAUUUACUUUAUUUUUAGAGCAAUAUUUUUUUUUAUAUACAUUUUGGCAACCCCAAAUCAAAAUCUUGGUUCCGGCCUAGUCUCACGGAAUCCCCCACCCCCAAACAAGCAAAGAAUUCAUGAAUACACAGUAAAAUUAUAUCAUCACCCCUUUUAGCCUAUCGCAUGAACAACGAGUUGAUGCCAGGAUGAACCGUUCAAUUCAUCAUAUUUUUGUGUUUGGGCAAGUUUUAUAUGUAGCGAUUAAAGGAGAAGAGAUGAGGAGUAUGCACGCUUUGUGCAAUUGGUAUAGGAAUUUAGAGAAACGACAAUGCUCAAAUGCCAAAUAUGUUUUAUCACUUUAUUUUUCACGACCUGAGAAACGUGAUGCACUAAUGAAAACCAAAUCAGCAAUGAAUAUUAUUGGGUUGAACAUUACUAUAAUCUGAUCACAAGCAGUUUUAGCAUCGAGUUUAAACUCACCUGCUCUGCAUUUUUGUUCACAAAUAAAAGAGAGCUUGUUGCGAUUCGUGCAUGAUAAUAUUCUGCCCUAGAUAGAGACAAAAGGUUGGCUUUUUGUAUCGCUUCCCCACAUACAGCGCCAAAUGUUGAUGCCAAAAUCCAGAUGAGUCGGUUAGUGACUCGAUCUCCGAUCCUUGCAUCAACAUUAAAUUUGUUUGGUGGGAAGUUGCUGGUCGAUCUCCAAGAAAAUCCUCCGACUAUGAUCAGAACAUUCAUGAGCUGUUGAUCAGUGAACACCAUGAGCACAUAAUUGAUGACCAGAUAACCAAUAAGCAAAUGAUCUAUGAGCAGAUAACCCGCAAGCCUACAAGCACAAAGAACAGUCAGGGCGCGCCAGAAGUUUUUCCGGUGAAAACCCUCCAACAUUCAAGUCAGCGAUUUGGGUCUACUUGGAAAAACCCAUACCAUAAUUCACGUGGCUUAAUUAUGAUUGCUUUAAACAAAAAGCUUUUAAGUAAAUUCAAAGGAAAAGAAUUGAAAAUAAUUAAUCUUAAAGAAAUAAUAAGCGAAAGAGAAAUUUUCCAGUGGUAGAGAGAGAAAAAGAUCCAAUGGGUUUAGUCACCCACAAAGAGAGAAAGAAAAAAAAAAGAAUCCACUCCUAGUAUUCUUUUUCCCAAGAUUUUUAUAGGAAAUUAUAGCGGUUUUUAUCCUCUUCCCUAUAAUUCCCAUGACAACUACUAAUUUUCAAUCUCACUAAGAAUAUGGUCCCUAAUAUUUUGGGGAAAAUAAGUGAUAUUUGUUUUGACUGAGUCGUACUUCCUAGUAACAUCCUGGUCGAGAUGAUCUGGUCGAGGUCAUCAAAUAAUCUCCUGGUCGAGGUGAUGUGGUCGAGAUGACCAAAUAACAUCCUGGUCAAGGUGAUGUGCUCGAGAUGACCAAAUAACAUCCUGGUCGAGGUGAUGUGCUCAAGGUCACCAAACAACAUCCUGGUCCAGGUGUUGCUCACUUUUUACUUAGAGGAGAGCAUGAUAAUGUAUGAGCAAACACCCUAUCUUGGUCACCUUAUUUUAUUCCCCAAACACCAGUCUCUUAGUUUUUAGUAUUGAGAGUGAAACGAAACAAGACUGGAAACUAUAAAGUUUAUAGUUUUUUACAAACUUAAAACCUUAAGCAGCUUAUUUUGCUUCCCUUGCUUCCCUUGCUGACCAUACCAUGGUUGAGCAUGUAUCAUUAGUUUAAAGUUUUAUGCCUUAUCUAGAGCAAGUUUCAAGACUUUUAACCUUACAUUGACUUAAGCAAUUUUAAGCUACUCUUAUUAGUUUAAGGUCUUAUGCCUUACCUAAAAUAGGCUUUAAGGCCUCUAACCUUGCACUUGCUUAAGGUCUUAUGCCUUACCCAGAAUAGGCUUUAAGGCUUCUAAUCUUGUAUUGACUUAAGCAACUUUAAACAAUUCCUGUCAAUUUAAGGAUUUAUACCUUACCUAGAGCAGGUUUAAAGGCUUUUAAUCUUCUAUUGAUUCUCUUUGCUUUUUCUAAUGCCUUAUAAAAUAUUAAUAAAUUUCAUUUAUAAACUUGGCUUCUCAACGCUAGCCUAGCUCUCCUUUCGUAGAUCAUUCUCAUAUUGAGCAACUUUCAAGAAAUCAAGUUAACUAACUAAUACCGUUAGCCCUAAUAUAAGCACAAUCAAUUUAAUGAAUAUAAGGUAUCCUCAUCUCACAUAGCAGGACUUAGAGAAAUAAUUAAAUUUUUAUUGAAAAAACUGCUUGUACAUAUAACUUUUGACCUGUUUUGAUUCCUGCAAAUGUGUGCCUUCAAUGUGCUCUUAUUUGAGGUUUUUGCUUUAAAUCCUUAAAUAUGGAUUUGCUCUGCAAACUGAUCAGCUAUAAUAGACCAUCAAAAAUUUAAUUUCUGACCUAUAACUUAUAACUUGUCCAGAAAAUAGCUCAGCAUUUACAACUUGUGCUUUAGCUAUUUAUAUAUGUUUGGGCCUUUGAUGGAUAAACAGCCUUGGUGUUUUAUUACCAUCUAUAAUAUUUGGUUAGCAAUAUUAUUAAAGACCUUUGCUAAAGGUACAGAGCAACAUUUACUAAUACUAUGGAUAUUGAAAUUUAUAUAUAAAAUAAAUCAUAUUAUGUAAAAUAUGUAGUCAACAAAUGAAUGGUAACAUAAAAGUUUAAGCAAAGUCAUAUCACUAUAUCAAGGAGAUAUGAUCUCAUGCUAACCCAAGUUCUAUCAAUCCUUUGGUCAAGCACGCUGUGUGCCAAUAUAUGACUAUGCUAUAUAUUCUAUAAUAUGUAAUCUUAACUAUUUUCUAUUAAUGACUUAAUAAGUCAAAACCCCAUCCAUCAAAUUUUUGAAGUCAAGUAGUGGAUUUAAAGGAUAAAUAUAAAACUGAGGUUUUAGAACAAAUGCACCUCAGAUUGUGCUUUGCAUUAUUUCAUUGGUACUUCAUUAAACAAAUCCCGAGCUUGACUCUACUUUGCUCCCUUCUUAGAAUUAUUCUUGUAGUACUGGAUUUUAGUCCUUGGCUCCUAGACAGUGUUCUUUUGAGCGUCACUCCCUUCAAUUUCAAUUGCUACCUUUGCUUUUCAAUCCAAUUAAUCUCACCAUCGUGAGUGUUCUUCAGUAGAUUCCUGAGCUUGUUCCUUAGAAUUUGAGGCUGCGAAAUUUUUUCAAUUUUGUCAGUUAUUUCGUCGAACAUUUGUUGUGUGUGAUCUCGUAUCACCACUUUUAACAAAUAUCCUCUGACACUUGUUUCCAAAAUCGUAAAAAACCAUAUCUCUGCACCAAAUUAGUAGCCAAAUCUUUAUUUUAAAAGAAUUAAUAUAUAGCAAAUAUGCCAAAACCGUGGCACAAUCCAAUUGUGAGUCUUGCAUUUAUAAAGUUAUUAGAUCAUGUGCAUGUGCCAUCAUGUUUAAAGUAACUAAGAUCUUAAUUUGUCUAAGCUUGAAAUAUGUGCAGAAUUUUAUGGCAAGCACAUGAUCUGGAGAGAAGUUUGACUAUAAAGCAACUAGCAUUGGAAUUCAACAUUUCUCAAAUUCAUGCUUCUCAACCAAUUUCUAAUUAUUAUGAAAGUUAAAUUUCUCAAGUCGGUGUCAUGUGAAUAUGCAAGUUUACCAAUACGGAAACAAAUUCAAACUAUACAAAGGCUGUGGCAUGUGUAAUUGAUCAUUCAAAUGCACUAUAUCAGACACAAAGAUGAGUAAAUUGAAAGUAAUCACAUCAAUUUAAUAGAAAAUACAAGCAGAAAUGAAAAUUGUGAGAUAGAUUUUACCGAUCUCAAGUUCAUGAAUGUCAACAUUGGUUUAAUUUUUACUGAUUUGAUUCAUUUCUUUUUCACGUGAAUCCAAAAUAAAAGAGAGCUUGUUGCGAUUCGUGCAUGAUAAUAUUCUGCCCUAGAUAGAGACAAAAGGUUGGCUUUUUGUAUCGAUUCCCCACAUACAGCGCCAAAUGUUGAUGCCAAAAUCUGGAUGAGUUGGUUAGUGACUUGAUCUCUGAUCCUUGCAUCAACAUUAAAUUUGUUUGGUUGGAAGUUGCUGGUCGAACUCCAAGAAGAUCCUCCGAUUAUGAGCAGAACAUUCAUGAGCUGUUGAUCAAUGAGCACCAUGAGCACAUAAUUGAUGAGCAGAUAACCAAUAAGCAAAUGAUCCAUGAGAGGAUAACCCGCAAGCCUGCGAGCGCAAAGAACAGUUAGGGGGCGCCAGAAGUUUUUUCGGCAAAAACCCUCCAACGCUCAAGUCAGCGAUUUGGGUCUACUUGGAAAAACCCUUACCACAAUUCACGUGGCUUAAUUAUGAUUGCUUUAAACAAAAAGCUUUUAAGUAAAUUCAAAGGAAAAGAAUUAAAAAUAAUUAAUCUUAAAGAAAUCAUAAGCGAAAGAGAAAUUUUCCAAUAGUAGAGAGAGAAACAUAUCCAAUGGGUUUAGUCGCCCAGAGAGAUAGGGAGAGAAAAAAGAAUCCUCUUCUAGUAUUCUUUUGCCCAAGAUUUUUAUAGGAAAUUAUAGUGGUUUUUAUCCUCUUCCCUAUAAUUCUCAAAAAAACUACUAAUUUUCAACCCACUAACAAUAUGGUCCCUAAUAUUUCGUGGAAAAUAAGUGAUAUUUGUUUUGACUGAGUCGUACUUCCUAGUAACAUCCUGGUCGAGAUGAUCUGCUCGAGGUCAUCAAAUAAUCUCCUGGUCGAGGUGCUGUGGUCGAGAUGACCAAAUAACAUCCUGGUCGAGGUGAUAUGCUCGAGAUGACCAAAUAAUAUCCUGGUCGAGGUGAUGUCCUCGAGGUCACCAAACAACAUCCUGGUCGAGGUGAUGUGCUCGAGAUGACCAAAUAAUAUCCUGGUCGAGGUGAUGUCCUCGAGGUCACCAAACAACAUCCUGGUCGAGGUGUUGCUCACUUUUUACUUAGAGGAGAGCACGAUAAUGUAUGAGCAAACACCCUAUCUUGGUCACCUUAUUUUAUUCCCUAAACACCUAUCUUGAUAAAUUAGUAAUAUUUAAGGUUUUUAUAAAAGGGGCCCAUAAACCUAAUUUUAUUAUAAAAGUACUUCUAAGCAUGUCUGUGUCCAUUGCCCAUGAAUUGGGCUCAUUAUAUAUUGAUAUUAAUUCCUUUAUAUCCUUGUGAGAACUGAAAACCUCACAUAUAUCAAAAUGAGCGACAUGGCAGCAGUGUCGUCAUUAAAUCUUGGAGAUUAAUCCACAUUAUUUGUAUUUUUUUUCCAUCGAGAUAUCCUCCUAGAGAAGCGGAAAUUAUCUAAAGGAUAGUGUGCUUUGUGCACUCCUUGAUGAAUAUGGUUGCUGGUGGAUGAACAGUGUCUGUGAAUAGGGACGUAAACAGUAUCAACAACUACUACUUAUGGAGUUCUUUUCUUCAUGUUGAGAUUGAUGGUUCGAUAGAUUUUGGAAUUCAAAGAUGCAAUAUUGACUCAUAUUUCCAACACCAAAAACUUGGCAAUGCACCCAUGCAUGUAGCCCUCGGUACACCAAUUAAAGCAUGAAUAAUUGCAACAUUUGUCUGUGUGAUGAGUGUACAUUGCUGACAUUAACUCGUGCUAAAAGUACUUCUAAAUACGCCUGUGGCCAUUGUAAUGUUGAUUUCUUUAUAUCCUUAUAAGAACUGAGAACCAUCAUAUACUAAAAUGAGUGAUGUGGCAACAUAGCUAGCCUAACAAAAUAUGAUACAAUAAUUUCCUCAAUUUUGUGUUAAAUAGUAAAAAAGAACGAACAAUCAUUGAAAUUUAAAUUGAAAUUGAAAUUGAGGUAAUUACUAUGUUAUUGUGCUAUUCAAAAUAAAAAUGUCUUACAUAUCUUUUUAUCAUGAAGAUUUUAGAAUAUGUCUCAUGUUGUAAUAAAACCAUAUCUAAAACAUAUAUUAUUGCAACAAUUAAACUUUAUAUUUUAUCAUUACACGAUCAUUUUCAGAAUAAAUAAAAAUUGUUUUCUAUCAUUGAACUCACAUGGCUUGCUGUGAUUGAUUGACUUGUAAGCUAACUCGUAAAUGAUAUUUUGCAUGUGGAAGCCCCCCCAACCCCCUUGCAUGGGAUGCAUGAAGAACGUAAUCGUAUGGGGUCGGGGGAACUCUUUUUGUAACACCUCAAUUCCACUAACAACGUAUUAUGGUGAAAUUGAAGGGAAACUGCAUUUCAUCAUUCUCAUUUAUAAAACCUUCAAAAUAAUACCCAACAGCAAAUGUUCUAAACCUCAAAAAGAAUAAUGAAAUAACGUAUUCUCAAAUAAAUAUCAUCCCAAAGGAAGCUAAAAUAUUCAUAACUUGUUAACGUAAUAUUAUUCCCCAAAAGGAGCCGAGCUCUUAUUCUUCCUAUUAAGACCAUAAGCUCAAAUUAUCUAACUCUAUCUGCAAAGAUGUGGUAACGAGGGGUGAGCCGUCAACUCAGUAAGUAUUUCAUGCACAAUACUAAAAAUCAUUAAAAUAUAAUUGAUUGAAUUUUGUAAAUAUGCAUAAUAAUAAGGAAAAUUACCUUUGUAAAUCAUCAUUUAGCAAAAAUAAAUCACAAUAAAGUCAUGCAAAUACUUUGAACAUAACAAUAACAUUUGAAACACAUAAAACAUAAUUAGCUUAUGCCACAUAGUAUCACCUGUAGACCCGGUGACACGACCAUAUAACAUUAUUCAGGGUACUAUACCUCGCAGGAAUUAUUAACAUUAACAUCAUAUGUGCACAAAAUCCGGCUAGCCUUCUAUAACAUAACAUAAUAUAACAUCACCAUGGACAAUGAGCCAAAUCAUUUAAAUUUAUCCUUGAAUUUUUAAUCAUUUGUAAGCUUCCAUAAAUUACAUUUAAAUAAUUGAUAAUUAUUUCAAAGUAUUUGACUUAAAAAUAUUUUAAUAAAGGUUUCCAUUUUUAAGACAAUUUAUUACACAAGUAUUUAAUAAAUAAAGUAUUGUUGUACAUAAUUUUAAAAAAAAAGAUUUUUACUUAACAAAAUAUUAUAGUAGAGUUAAACAAAUCAGUUUCAUAUACUUUUCAUUCAACAUGAUACAUUUUAUUAGUGAAAUAUAUGUAUCAUACAUGAAUCUACUUACGUCGAUCCUCAGCAAUAAAAAAAUAGUAACCUCAACCACAAGCUUACUCUCGUCCUAAAACAUCAAGACAUAUUCUUAUCAAUAUUAUUACUCAUUUUGACCUUGAUAUAAAUCUAACAUGAUCAAGUCUAAUCAUAAGCACUAAAUCAUCAAAGCUAUCUAAACCUGACCAUCCUAUACAUGCUGAUUUUUACCAAGCUAAUCAUAUGUUGGAAAAUUGUAAAACUUAUAAAAAGAAACUAUAAACGUGUGUAGCAUUUCAUAUAAAAAUUCAAAAAAAAUGAAUAAAAGUCAGAAACAUAAUGCAAAAGAAUUUUACAUGUAAAUAUCCACACUGUCCAACAAUGAUAAAAACAAAGGUUGCCAAAUUAGAAAAUUUGUAAAAUAGUUAAUAAAACUCAUGGAAAUUAGACCACUUGAGUUUACAAUAGUAGAAAUAUCAAGAAACAAUACAUCAAAUUUCUAGAAUUUUUCAAGAUGUAAAACUGUUUUAAACAAACUUAUAUUAAGAGACCAGUAAACCUAUCCAGAAACUUUUAGGUUUGUGUUUUGCACUUCAAAAAUUCAUAACUUAAUGUUAACUCAAUGAAGAUUAGUCAAAUAAACUUUAAAUCAUAGAGGAUUCACAAUAUUAUAUGAAUAUAAUUUUAUAAGUCAUUAUAAAACCUUUUAAUAAGCCAACCCAAUUUUACCAUCAGCCAUUGCAAUUUUGGAAUGCAAUCUCCAAAAUUACAGCAGCUCAACAUAACGAUUUUUAAUAAUUUUUAUACUCAACCAAAAAUUAUGAAAUUAAACAUAUGGUAAAUAGAUAUAAUGAGGAUUAGACAAAGAAAUCAACAUUAUAUUUAGAGAUCAUUUGUGUAGUCAGAAAUAUCCAUGAAUGCAAACAUGCUGCUGAAAAUUAGAAUUUUCCCGCACCACUGUUCAAAUUCUGAAAAUUCACAAUAAAUUGGUUACUUGGAAUCUCUUUCCACAAAAUACAUCAUUGAAAACCUAAAAUUCGUGCAGAAAUUAAAUAAAAAAUAAAGGAAAAAUAGUAAUCAAAUCACACUGCUCAUGCCUCAUGAUGCCUAUCUAGUUAUUUAUGAUAAAGAGAACAAGUAUUAGAGAGUAUGCAUUAAAGAAAGAUAAAUGCCUCAAAAUUUCUUUCAAAUUGCAUAAAAGAAAACCUUAGAAUUCUUUGCUUUUAUAUGUUUCUUUGAUUAAAGAGUUUUAAAUUGUAGUGAUAUAUGAAGAGUUGAAGUUUAAUAAAAAUAUUGCUUUUAUAAAAAAAUUUAUAUGAUAAAGAUAAUAAUCCCUUAUAAUUUAUUUUUUAAAAAUAAAUAAAAAGAAAAAGAAUUAUACCUUAUCUCAAUUAAUGCUAAUUAAAAUAAAUUCACACAAAUAAAAGACAAAAAAUUAAAUAGAUAAACAUAAAUAAAUUCAAACAAACAAGGGACUAGUGUUACACUUUUGUUAAAAGUUUAUUCUUUUUUAUGCUAAUCUAUUACAAGCAAUGACUAUGACGGCGAUAUAAUUGAUUAAUUAAUAUGGAAUGAGCAGAAAGGAGAGAAAAGCAAUUAAGCAAUGAACAUCUAGAGACUAGAGGGCCUUUUUCUUCUUCUUCCUCCGCUUCCCCCCGCACACCCCCCCCCCCCCCCCAAACUGCAGUCAUAAUUAAAAAGAACCGCCGAUUACUUCUCCAUUUUUCGCUCCACAUAUGAAGUCCUAGGCUCCAAGUCAUGUUGCACCUUCUAAAAUUUUAAAGAAGUGUUUGUUAUAACUUUUCGCAGAGUGUCACAAUUCUUUUUCUAAAUAAUUAAAAUAUAUUAAUUGAAUUUGUUACAUAAAUAUUAUUCUUGCUAAAAAGAACAAAAUAACAAUACAACAAACUUGCACCCAUCAUGCCAUGCUCUGAAGAGUCAACAGUGUAGACAAUGUUGGGAUUAUAUGCUCUUUUAAAGCGUAUUAAUUUAUUUUUUGAUUAAUAAAAUAUUUGAGAUAUUUUCAAUUGCAUAAAUAUAUAUUGAAUAAGGUCCGUUUAAUCAUAUUAUAUGUAUUUAUGUGAUCAUCAUAUGGAUUCACAGAAGACAUAAAUACAAGUUAUCUUAUGAUUAAAUAAAUUUACUUCGCAGUUGAUAAAUAAAGUUGGGCGCUCUAUUUAUGUUUAGACUAUAGUAAAUUCAUUGAAUGAUUUGUCUUAAUCGUAUAUGAAUUUACUGAUGUAGUUUGACUACAUUGAGCUGGAUCACAUAUGAGAUUUAAUUAACCUUGAAAUGAUUGUCAGACUUAUUAAAUCUUGUAGGCUUUGAUUUUACUGUAAUCUUAAUCUUGAGUUAGUUAUGAUUUCAUGAUUGUAAUUGUUAUUCCAUUUGAGUUACCAAUGGGCACGACACAUACUUGUGGUCAAGAUUACCCGGUAUCUUGGUGGGAGCAAUUAUGAGUAUUGGAGUUAUAUAUUAACAAUAUAGAAUUUGUAUAACACAUCUCUUGAUGGGUUUUCGGCACUUGAUCAUAGAAUUCUCUGGCCAGAGUGUGUCAACAUAUUUAGUAUGUUGAAAAUGAUCAUUAGAGAAAACCAGUACGUAUCAAGGAACAAGAUGCAAUUAAAUCGAAUGGAUAGUUGAGAUAUCGAUUUAAUUAACGAUGUGGUACAAAGGAUUAUGUAGUAAAGAAAUUAAUGUGGCUUCGGAUGAAUUAUUAUUCGAACAUACAAUUAUGGAGGUCAAUUCCAAUCUUAUAGUGGAGUAGAGUUGGAAUUAAAUGAUUAGACUUGUUUAAUUACAGGAUUAAUUGUUGUAGCCAUUAUUGUAUGUUCCCAAAUGAUCCUCGGGUUAGCUCAUUUAAUUGACUGCGCCACUACUGGAUUAAUAAGCAAGAAAACUAGCUAUUUAGGUCAAAAGCCUAAAUAUAUCAUUUAGUGGGAGGCUCCAUUUAAUAUACUUGUAUCUAAGGGACUUUAUGUUAUUUUACAAGAUGACCCCCCUAUAGAAAAAGCAAGUAAUGUGGCUUUUGAUUUUCAUUAUUUAGAGCCUAGGCUUUCACUAAAGGGAGAUAUAAAAAGGCUUAUUUUCUUUAAAGAAAAGUGAGAGCAGUACUUUAUAUAGAUCAAAGAAAAAGAUUUUUCUCUCUAUUGUUGAGAGAAAAAUUUUCUCGUGCUAGUUGUUUUGGUAGUGAUAAAGGCGCCCACACGUCAAGUACAAAUCAAACCUGAGUCAUAACUUGGAAGAUCAUUGGUGACAGUUUGUGAUCUAACUAGCGUGGUGGUGAUGGAUCGUGAUCUAACAGGCGUGGGGGUGACGGAUUGUGAUCUGGAGCCUAAAUCACUUCAGCGAAAAAAGCCAAAUCGAAUUUUCAAGGUACGAUUUCUGGAUUAUAUAUUCUUAUAUAUUGUAUGAGAGCGAUCCUAAAAAGUUUUUUAAAAAAAUUAAAAAAACUCAUUUUUCUCCAACAAUUGGCAUCAAAGCCAUCUCAUAUUAAUAUAUAAGAAUAUUGUAUGAAAUCAAUCUUGAAAUUUAUGUAUUAGAGUGGCAUAAUUUAUUCAGAUAUAUAUUAUUUGUUUAAUAUAUGAAUAAAACAUGUUUUGUUUUGUCUUAAUUCAUGGUUAGAUUCUUUGCUGUAUUUUUCCUUUGGAUCUGUAACAAGAGGGGUGGUUUAUUAUCACCAUAUUUCCCUCUUGAUUUAGUUACAUGUCAUUCAUUAAUUAUGAAUCUUAUUAUAUUGUUUGUAAUUUGCAAAUGCUUAAAUAAUAUUGGAUAUCAUCUAGAUAAUAUUAUAGGAAGCAUGCAAUUAACAAUAUGUAUGUUUUAAAAAAGGUAAAACCAAUUUUAAAAUAUUGAGUGGGAGAGGGAAAAUUCAAUAUAAUUUUUCCCACGGGCUCCAUUGUUAGUUCAAUAAUAAAAUUAUAUAUAUACCUCAACUUCAUGAUAUGGUGAUACUCCCUACGGAGGGUAUAUAUAUUAGAUAUUUUAUUUGAUGAACUUCUUCAAAGAUAAAUUGAAAUAUUUUUAAUCAAUUGUUCAUCCCAACGGUGACUAUUGAUAUGAAAAAUACGUAGAUUGAAACAAUGGUUAUACACUCAACUAAAAAUUGUUAUUAAACGAAGCUCUGUUAACAAAUUUAGGCCCAAAGGGAUAACUAUAAUCCAAUGGAUAAUUGGGUCUAGUAAGUGUAGACAUGACUUCCCCAACGGAUAGCUUGUCAAAGCGGUACUAGAUUAUCGUUACAAUAAAUUAAAAUGCAUUUAUGGUUUUUUUUCAUUUUUUUCAUUUAUUGUGAAUAUUGUUUCAAAGUAUUUAUGCAUGUCUAUUUUGUUUUUCAGAAAAUUUCUUCCAUCAACCCAUUAUUAAUUAUCCUUGUUAAAAAUGAACUCACUGGCGAAAAUUAUUUAGAUUGGAAACGCAAUCUAUUUAAUAUUCUCACUGCUAAAGGCUGCAAAUAUGUGUUGACCCAGCCAUGCCCUCUAGAACCAACGUUAUACGAUUAUAGAAAUCAGAGGGAGCCUUAUGAGAAAUGGUACGAAGCCAACACAAUGGCUAAGCGCUAUAUAUUAGCUUUGAUUUCUGUGGAACUGCAUAAGAAACAUCGGAGCAUGGAAACAACCACUGAAAUAAUGGCUAGUCUUCAGCAGAUGUUUGGGCAAAAUACUCAUUUUGCCAAAGAAGCAGCAUUAAAACGUAUUACGGAUACUAAGAUGGAAGAAGGUACAAGAGUUCGUGAUCAUGUCCUCAAAAUGAUGGACUAUUUGAAUGAGGUAGAGAUUCAUAGUGUUCAAAUCAAUGAUAAAUCAAAUAUUAACAUGGUGAUUGAAUUUUUACCUGAUACAUUCAAAGAGUUUAAGGUCAGCUAUAUCUUAAACAAUAAAUAUAUGACCUUAAUUGAAUUAAUGCACAAACUACAUGCUAUAGAAGAAUUUUAUCAUAGCAGAAAACUUCCUGAAAAAGGAUUCUCUUCGAGGCUUAAGUUGAAAGAGAAGAAUGAGCAAGAAAGAGUUGGGAUCGGCAAACUGUCCACUAAAAGAAGUGGCAAGCCAAAAGGCAAGUGUUAUAAUUGUGGACAGAAGGGUCACUGGAAGAAAGAUUAUCCUGAGAUUAUUAAAAUCAGGUAAAGGAAAUCUUUAAGCUUCCUAAUUAGUUCAAAUUUCUAUUGAUUCAUACAAUAGUGAAUUCUGAGAUAACUAAUCUUAUUUGUAAUUCAUUUAUUUGGUUUUCAGGAAACCAAGAGAUUAAGUGAAGAAAGCUUCAAACAGCAGUUGAGGAUAUGCUAGUUUAUAUCAAUUGAAAGGAUAGAUCAAUUUUACAAGACUUUAGUUUUGAUAUUUGUAUUUAUUUUUCCAAAUAUUAGAGGAAUUUAAUUUCGGUGGCUUGUUUUAAUAAACAGGAGUACACUGUUAUUUUUGGAUCCUCUAUUUAUUACUUAUUUUGGUUAUUUAUAAAGACAAUUUAUAUCAUAUAAGUCCAUUGAUCUAUUCCAAGCAAGAUAUAAUGAUAAAGAGUAUAUGCAUUUAUCUAAGAAAAGAAAUGUUUCUUCUAACCAAAAUCACCUCUGAUAUUUAUGCUUAAGUCAUAUAAACUAUAAUAAGAUUUUAAGAAAAUGAUUAAUGAUAAGAUUGAUCAUUGUAACUCUGUAAAUCUUAUUUAGAAAAGCAAUAUGACGAGGAUGCUCUUUUUGAGCUAAAAGCAUAACAUUGUAUUGGAUGAUUUAGCGCAUACAAAUGUAUACAGAUUAAUCAGUUUACAUGUUAUAAGAGGUUAUGAGUAUUCUAUCAAUCUUGUUGAUGAAUAUUCAUUUUAUUUAUGUUUGUCUAAAUGUGUCAUGAUUCCAUUGCUUUUGAAAUUCAAAAGAGUACGUGGAUAAGACAGAAGCAAUUAGACAGGAACGUAAAAGAACUUCGAUAUGAUCGAAACAAAAAAUAUCUCUAUGGAGAAUUCAAGCACUAUUUGGUUGUCAAAGAACACUAUGAUGGAGGUGUUAAACAAUGCAGCAAAGUAGUGGCAUCAUUGAAGAAAAUUCCAUAAAUCAACAUUCAAAAGGUUUGAGUUUUCUCUUACAAGUCAAAAGUGCAGAGUGUUUAUUUUAAGGACAAAGCCAAAUUGCCUAGCCACCAUGAUGAGAAAUUAUUCAUCCGUAAAGUGCCAAAAAUUGAGAUGAAGAAUAUGGUUGGAUCAAUGGAGAAUUUUCAAAAGAGCUUCAAGGCAUCAUUAUAUCUAAUUAUGAAUUGGAAACGGAAGAGAAAGCAAAUUAUUUCAAAAAAGUCUACCCUUGAGGACAACGGUAUUUUCAAGGGGGAAGGAAUGAUACAAACUCUUAAAAUAAUUAAAAGUAUUUAUUUAAUUUUAUGGUAUUAAUUAAUUUUGAACUAGUCAAAAGUAGUUGCACUUAUUUUGUGGAACUACAUGAAAGUAGCGGAGCAUUAUGUGAGAAAAUUACCUAUUAAUAAACCAUAGGUAAUUUUCCAUUUCUAGGUAAUAUAUAUGUUUGUGAAUAGAAUUUUAUUUUAAUUAAAUGAUAAAUAUUAUCUUAAUCACUAACAAAUAAAAUAUUAAACAUGUAAAUAUACAUAUUAAUUUAGAUUUAUGUGUAAUAAAUAUUGAAAUAUUAUUUAAACUUCACCAACACAUAUUAACAGUGAUCUCUUUUUAUUAUUUAUAAUUGGAACAAUACAAUUUUAAUUUCUUAGCGUUAUAUUUAUUAAUCUACUAAAUUUUUGGUGAGAAAGAAAGAAUAUUAUUAAAAAUAAUAUUCAAUUAUGUUAGUAUUAAACAAUAGUUUAAAAAAUAUAUAAUUUUAGAUAUAUUGUAACUUUUUUGUAAUCUUUAAAUAGAUUGGUCUGAUAGCCUGUUAAUUUUAAAUUAUUAAAAUUAAAAUAUUGCACUAACUGGCUUCUAAUUUUAUAAGCCAUUGAUUAAAUCCAACAGUUCAUAUUUAUGCGACUAUUAAUACUUAACAGCAUCAUAGCAUGACCCUUGUAUUGUAAUUCUUUUUCUUUUUUCUGAAAGUAACUGAAUUAUUGUUUGACCCACAAUUUUAGAAAAUGCCUAAUAAGAAUAUUGAAAUUCCUAAAUUCUUAAUGACCAUAUCUUCAAAACACAGAUAGUGGUUUUGGGUCGGAAUAGAGCGGGCAAAAUUUGACACAACUCGAUUACUCGACACGAACACGACAUAAAUAAAUGAGCAUGGGUCGUCAAAUUUAACACGAUUAUUAAAUGGGUCGGGUCUGGGUCGACACAAUUUUUUUCCGUGUUGGGCUAGGGUUAAAAUUCUUGACCCAUUUACCCAAUCAAUGACCCGAUUAUAUUUUUUAUUUUAAAAUAAUUUACAGGUUCUUGUCAUCAAAACUUAAAUAUUAGAGAUGAUUUUCUCUUUUAUUUUUAUUCUUUAAAAAGAUGAAUAUAAACAUAGUGUUUUAUUUAUAAAUUUUAAAUACAUUUAGAGAUUCAAGAGUGUAAAUGCGUAAAAUAUUGGUAGACAUGUAUAUUUUAUAAUAUUGAUAUAUAAUAUUAUUUACUUACAUAUAAUUAAAACCUCAAUAGUGUAAAUGUGUAAUAUUUUGGUAGAUAUGCAUAUUUUAUAAUAUCGAUAAAUAAUGUAUGUAUGUAUGUAUGUAUGUAUGUAUGUAUGUAUGACAGUGUGUAAAUAUUUGAUGUAACUUUUGUUUAAUAUAUAGAUAUUAAGUGGGUUAUUGGGUAACCCAAUUAUUUUUCCGUGUCAGGUUUGGGUCUCAAUAUUUUGACACGAUUAUUAAAUGGGUCGGGUUUGGGUCAAGCUAAAUUUAACACGACCCGAAGCUAACACGACACGAAUACGAUUCGAUGACCCGUUUUGCCAGCUCUAGGUCGGAAGGCUAAAUUCAUAAAUAAAGUUUCCCUUGUUUCCGAAAAUUUCAAAGUUCAGCUCUAGUUACAUAUGGAAAAUGAAUCCGGAGCGCAGUUCCAUCAACAUCAACUAUUGAUUUUUAAGAAAAAAAAAUAAAGUUGAAAAGGCAUGUGAAAAAAUGAAAAUUUCAAUGAAAGUGGAUAAAAUGCGAUGCGACUAUGGGUUACAUAGCAAGAUACAUCAGUGCUGACAAUUUUUUUUUUUUACUAAAUUGAUGGAAAUAUCAUAAAGUUUCAAAGAAAACAAAUAUGUUUUCUCAUUUUAUCAAGAUUAUUCAGAUGGGAAGCAGUUUCAGACUUUCAGUCCACCGUGUGCAUUUUCGUUAAUGGUAUUAUUAUUUUCUUUUUAUUUAUUAUAAUUAGCCGCAAUUUUGCUACUUUCGAAAUGGAUAUUUGACAUAAGUUCGACCUUUUUUUUAUUUCUUUUGUUACAAUUUUGAUGCAUAUUACUGUUUGACUUGUUUCAAAUUACUCGGAUUAAGCAAACAAUCAAGCCACAUUACUAGGUUAUCAAGAAAGCGUAGUCACCAGUUAGGUCUCAAGUCAAAGACGUGACUUAUUUUAGUCAUUUGCUUUUUGUUAAACAGAAUUUAGGGGAAGUUAAUUAAUCGAUAACAAGUUCACCACAUGGGGAUUUCUUCUACAACUGCUCAACUGAAAAAAGGUUUACGACUGUUGACCAAAUGAUUUUUUUAUGCAUUACUAGUCAUUUAAGGAAUUUAGUUUCGCAUAGUACCAUUAAUUGUUAAGAGUUAUUAGCUAACCCACCGGUAACUUCUAUUGAUGGUAUCACCACAAAGUUUGUUUUAUAAUUAAUUAAAUAGGUAUACGAUGAGCUCGACAGCAAUUUGUUUUUUUAUUUUUCAGAAAAGAUUGUUUUACUAAAAAAAUGUAAUAUAGAACAAAAGAAGAUUAGACAAUCGGGGGUGUAAUGAACCCUAAUUAAAGAUAGUUACCAUAGAAUUAGCUAAUUAAUGAAGUGAUAAAGGAGAUAAAACUGAUCGACUAACAGUCAAAAUUAUGUUGAUAUAUGCUACCAUCCUUAUAAAAGAAAUGGUAUUUAGAACCAUAUCAUACCAUUUCUUAUAUAAAGUUUAAAAAAAAUAAAAGUCUAUAAUGAAUUAGAAAUCUCACCCAUGAAACUCAAAUUAUCACCCAGUAUUAUUACUCGUACUCGACUAACCACAGUUGCAAACAUUCAAAGUCAGUGGUGUUGUGCCAAGGGAGCCAAACAAUUCCCCCCACCCGCCACCUUUUUGUACAUUAUAAUCAAAUUAAAGAUCUCACCUUAAUGGUACAUGUGGCAUAUAAAAUUUAGUUUAGAUGAAUUACGAAUCUCAGCCACACAUGUAAAUUGAUAAAUUACAUUACUGUGAAUGUUAGUAUAAUUAUUUUAAUAUUAUUAUAAUGUAAAAUAUAUUUUAUUAUUAUUAAAAGAAUAUGAUAGAUUAAUAAUGUUAGAAUAAUUUUUCUAACAUUCAAAAUAUUUUAAAAAUUUUAUCUUAUUUUAUAAAUUAUAUGAUUUUAGGUUUAAUUUAUAUUUAUCAUACAUGUUUAUUUAAAGUCAAUUAUUGAGUUGUUUUAAUUAAGUAUAUAAUAGUUCAAAAAGAGUCUAUGUAACAAUUUAUGAUAUUAAGGGGAUAUGUUUGAUCAUUUAAGUAGACCUUAGGGGUGUGGAUGCCUUUCCCCUUGAUUUUUGGCUUGUUAAAUUUUUAAUUUUUUUUAAAGCAACCUUGCUAAAGUGAGAAAUCUAUUAAAUUAAGAAGAAAGAGAAAAAUAUUUUAGAGGAUAUAGUGAGCCUUACCUCUUAAAAAGUACCACAUCGUUCUAGAAUAAGAAAAUAUACAUAAAAUAUAAUAGAAAAAAGUACAUUAAUGUAAAAUAACCAUCCUAAAUGAAACAAGCCAAUUAAUAGAAUCUAUAAUUGGAGAAGCCAUCAGUCUAUAAAGAAAGAAACUUCCGAAUGACCAUAGGAGGAUCUCCCAAAUUCGCAAGACAAUCAGUAACACUGUAAUUCUUCCUAGAAGUGUGAUAACAUUGGAACAACAAGGGAGAAUAAAUUAAGUUUUGCAGUUGAUCAAGGGGCAGGCGAAGACAAUGAACAACAACCAAAUAGCUACAUUCUAACCAAAGCCAAAAACAAAUUAAUUAUAUAAUCGCUCCCCCCGAUUGGUAUGUAGAGGCUUAUAUACCUUGUGGUUUUCGCUCCACGCUUUAUCUUUAUUGAGUUCGAGCAUUUAGAUCAACCCCAUGCGUGUUAUGGGAGUAGAAUUUGUCAUUAUUGUGAGUAGAUCUUUUCUUCCAUGAAGAAAUUAAAAUUUUCAGGUGGAUAGCCAUAAGCUUUCAGAUGGGCACUAACAAAGCAAGUUAGUUAAUAAUUUAUAAUUACAUCAACAUCGGGGAAAAACAAGUAAUGAGGUAGGUUAAACCUAAAUUACUUUUUAACCCCCUACCAGCACAACAUUCGAGUUAAAGUGACCAGUUAAGUAAAAUUGUGUUGGGUUUAUCUCUUUUGGGUGGCCAAAACCCAAUUUUCAUUCAUUUAAGUAUUUAAAUAAUUAAAGAAAGAUUGAGGGGCUAAGUGAAGUUUUACAAUAAAAUUCAGUUUGUAGGACGUGGCUGUAGAAGAGUAAGUGGAGGCGCGGCAGGCGCCUGAUACAAAAAGAAAAAGCACAGAAAGACGAGAGAAGAAAAGCAAGAACAGUGGCUGACUUUUACAAUUUGGGGGUAAGAUUUUUAAUCUUUGUUUAGACGAUCAGAAGGCGAAAUGAACUCCGUUUUCUCCUAAAUUUUAAGGGUAAGUUCCUGGCAUCGCCCUCUACAAUCUUACUGGUCUUGAUUUUUAUUUUAUUCUCUCAUUGGCUAUUAUUUGAGAUACUCACUUGUUAGAGAGACAUAUAUUAAGAUGUUACUGUAAACCAACAAUAUUGAGAUUUUUUAUAUUGUUAGCCUCAAGUAUUAUCCAGAGAAGAAUUUGUACUUGUAAUUCCAUUAAUAUAGUGGAAGACUAUCAGACUACGGUCCCGUGAUUUUUCCAACUUUGGGUUUCCACGUAAAAAUUUGUGUCUCUUGUGAUUGAUUUAUUGCUUUGGAUUUUGUUGGUUUAUUUUUCUGCCUAUUUAUUUGUGAUACACAUCCUAUUUUAAUCGCAUAAAGAGGGAAAUAGUUUUAUUUUCACUUAAUUUACAACUGCUUGUGUGAGUCCCUUUCCUAAUAAAGUGUCUCGGAGUUUCAGGUUUUGUAUUUUUAUUACUUGUGUGGUUUAGAUGGAGAAGUCCUUGGCAUGCAAGAUUAAAUUAAAGUCAUGGAAUUAUAGUAUUUGAAAGUCUAGGAUUGAAGAUUUGUUGUACAUGAAAGACUUACAUGAACCCAUUAAAGGUAAAGAAGCUAGACACGCCGAUUUAGAUAAUAAGAAAUAGGCUCAAUUAAACCAGAAGGUCGUGAGUACUAUUAGAUCAUGGAUUGAUCAGAGUGUGUACCAUCAUGUCGUGAAGGAAUCCAGGGUUGAUGUUCUUUGGAGAAAAUUAGAGAUGAUUUAUGAGCAGUCGAUAGCAUAGAACAAAGCCAAUUUGAUGAAAAUGUUUGUUAAUUUGAAACACAAGAAAGGGCGUAGUAUAACUGAACACACUAGCGAGUUUUAGGGCUUGGUUGAUCAAUUGACUACUAUGAAAAUUAUAUGAGAUAAUGAGUUACAAGGAUUGUUGUUACUUAGUUCUUUACCUGACAGUUGGAAGAUAUUAGUGGUGUCAGUGAAUAAAUCAAAGCUGAACAGGAAAUUAACCUUGGAUAUAGUUACAGAUAGGCUGUGGAAUGAAGAAUCUAAAAAAAAAAAAGUGUUGAAUGUUGUGCAAAUUUUAUUGAACUCACAACUGCACGAAUCUGUUGUAGAACAGAUCAACUGUGACAAGUGUCAAUCCCACGAGGAGGUGGAUUUUAAUUGCGUGCAGAGUUAAUUUUCUAUGUAGGUGGUUGGAUUUGCGUUGAAAGUGAUUUAGACAUUCCUAAAAUUUAAAUUAGAAAGGCGGGAACAACUUAAGGUGAAAACUAUUAAAAUGAAGCGCUUGGGUCUCUAGAUCUGCACUCAACAUGUAUCAUGGGCUUAAUAUUCCUUAUUAGUGCCAAUUAAAUCAUGAGGGGGGUUUCCACUCCUCAUGAACCUCACUCCAAUAAAUAUGGUGCUAAGUGCUUAUCGUGCCAAAUAGUAAUAACCUUGCACUGGGAAGGCGGUUAUACCAGUGUAAUAUUUAGACAAUAUUAUUAUUAUUUGUCGACAAAAAGUCAAAUCAUCCACAAAAAUUAAAGGGGAAGAGAAAGUAAAUUUACCAAAUUAAGCCCAUGGAACAUGUUGAGACUUCAUCUUCAACCCAAGCUUGAAAGAAAAUUAGCUACUCAUAAUUGACCUAGGGGUAAAAUGGAAAUUUAUUAAAAUACGUAGAAAAUACAAGAUAGAGAAGGAAUUACAGAAAAUGAGCUCAAAAAUGGAUUCAGUGGUGUCAAAUUAGGGGGGGAGCCCCCUAUUUAUAGAUACAAUAAGUAAAUCAUGGUCAUCGAAUUAAAAUAAUUUGGACGCUCAGGAUUGCGACACGUGACAAGUUUUGAUUGGAUAGAACACAUCAUCAGGGUAGUCAUUCCGUGUAUAUGCAUGUAUCGUACGCACAUUUUUUCGAUCCACUAACAUACUGCCACAUCACCAGUAAAUGCUACAUUAACAUUUUAGUCCAAUAGAAUCGUGAUACAUUAUUAGUCAAGCCACGUCAUCAGUCAACACCACUCAAUGCCAUAUCAUUCGUCCAAUCGAAUGCUGCCACAUCAUCGAUCAAUGCCACAUCAUCUGUCAGUGCCGCGUCAAUAGUCAAUGUCACGUCAUCGUACCGUAUAUGUGAAUAGUGUCGUGAACAGUAUAAUGAAUAGUACCGUAUAUGUGAACAAUGUCGUUUAUUCUUUUAUAUUCCUCCUAAGGUUUUUCGACUGUCCUGAGUUCAAAAUUACUGUCCAUUUUUCUAUCUGAUCUCUCGUCACUGUGAAAUGACUAUGAUGCCCCCUAAAAUACAUAAAAUACUUAAUUAUAAUAAAACACACAUAAUUAAAUCACAAGGGACUUAAAUACAUAAAAAUAGAGAUGUCAGAGAGACAUAUAUUAGGCUAUUACUGCAGCCAAGAAUAUUGAGAUUCUUGAUGUUGUUAGCCUCCAAUAUUAUUUAGAGAAAAACUUGUGCUGUAAUCUCAUUAAUAUAAUGGAAGAUUGUAUCGGACUAUGGCCCCGUACUCUUUCUUGCUUUGGGUUUUUCACGUAAAAAUUUGUGUCUCUUGUAGUUGAUUUAUUGUUUUAGAUUUAGUUGACUAUUUUUUUUGCUUAUUAUUUAUGGUACACAUCCUAUUUUAAUAACACAGAGAGGGAAAGAGUUUUAUUUUCGCUUAAUUUACAAUUGCUUGUGUGAGUCCUUUUCCCAACAAAUUGUUUAAGAAUUAAACUACUCAGUUCAGUUUCUGAUUGAUGUAGGACGGUUUAGUAGGAUAACCAGGGUACUUUUCAGAGUCAUAACUUGGGCUACAAUUGUCCAUUUUUUUUCGUAUAAUAUAUCAUUUCGAAACUUGUGACAAGAUGCUGUCGAACCAAUAAUUUUGUUUCUUUCCCAAUCUUUUUUCAAUUUUAAAAUAUUUUUGCCUAUUUUUUCUAUUACUUUCAAGAUUUUUAUCUCUUUUCAAAUAUCAUAUUUAGGUGCUUUUUGUUUUGGUUUUCUUAUUUAGAUUACGAGAAUUUUAUUAUAAAAUAAUAUUUUAAAUUUGUCCAUUUCAAUAAAUUAGCAAUAUUCAAGAUUAUUAUAAAAGGGGCAAAUUGAUUUUGUUCGUUCAAACUUUUCCUAAUAAAAUUUCGUUAUUCAAAAAUCUAGUUUCUCUUAUCUUUCAAUCUUUAUAUUUCUACAACGUCAGAGGCCUAUUAACUAAAGACUUUCCUUUAGAGGUAACUCCAUUAUUUUAUGGUAAACUAUAAGCCUCACAAUAUACUUGUGAUUUCUCGAAUUCCACUGUGUGUGCUGGUCAGUACUCGAUCAAUCACUUGCUAUCCGUACCAAACAAAAAUUGCAUUAAACAGGGGAGCCCCAAAAACUUGGCAAUUUACCCAUGCAUGUAGCCCUCGGUACACUAAUAAAAGCAUGAAUAAUUGCAGUCGUUGUCUUUGUGAUGAGUGUACAUUGUGACAUUAACUCGUGUUAACAGUACUUCUAAGCACGUCUGUGUCCAUUGCCCAUUAAUUGGGCUCAUUAUAUAUUAAUAUUAAUUCCUUUAUAUCCUUGUAAGAACUCAUAUAUAUCGAAAUGAGCGACAUGGCAGCAGUAUCAUGAUUAAAUCCUGAAGAUCAAUCCGCAUUAUUUGUUUUCUUUUUUUCAUUGGGAAAUCUUCAUAGAGGAGCGGAAAUCGGUCUAAAGGAUAGUAUUUUGUGCACGCCUUGACAAAUUUUGUAGUUGUUGGUGGAUGAACAGUAUUGUAAAUAGUAUCUGAUGAACAAUAUCUGUGAACAGUGAUAUAAACAGUAUCAAUAGCUACUACUUAUGGAGUUCUUUUCUAUGUUGAAAUUGAUGUUUCGGCAGGUUUUGAAAUUCAAAGAAGCAAUAUUAAUUCGUAUUUCCAACACCAAAAACUUGGUAAUGCACCAUGCAUGUAGCCCUCGGUACAUCAAUUAAAGCACGAAUAAUUGCAGCAUUCGUCUGUGCGAUGAGUGUACAUUGAUGACAUUAACUCGUGCUAAAAGUACUUCUAAAUACGUCUGUGGCCAGUGCCCAUGAAUUGGCUCAUUGUAUAUUAAUAUUGAUCCCUUUAUAUCCUUAUGAGAACCAAGAAACAUCAUUUAUUAAAAUGAGCGAUGUGGCAACAUAGCUAACCCAACAAAAUAUGAUAUAAUUAUUUCCUCAAUUUUCUGUUAAAUAGUAAAAACAACGAACAAUCAUUGAAAUUGAAAUUGAAAUUAAUUGAGGUAAUUACUAAGUUAUUGUGCUAUUCAAAAUAAAAAUGUCCUACAUACCUUUUUACCAUGAAGAUUUUAGAAUACGUCUCUUGCUGUCGUAAAACAAUGUCUAAAACAUAUAUUAUUGCAACAAUUAAACUUUCUAUUUUAUCAUUACACGACCAUUUUCAGAAUAAAUAAAAAUUGUUUUCUAUCAUUAAACUCACUUGGCUUGCUGUGCUGUGACUGAUUAACUGGUAAGCUAACUCGCAAAUGAUAUUUUGCCACAGGGAAGCACCCCCCCAACCCCCUCUCAUUCUUGCCAUAUCUCAAGCAAGUAGGUCUAUAUUACGUAAUGGUAUGGGGUCGGGGGUGGGGGUGGCCCGGGUGGGGAAACUCUUUUCUUAAAAGUUUAUUCAUUUUUUAUACUAAUCCAUUACAAGCAACAAUUAUGACGGCGAUGUAAUUGAUUAAUUAAUAUGGAAUGCUUUUAGCAGAAAGGAGUGAAAAGCAAUUAAGUAAUGAACAUCUAGAGACUGGAGGGCCUUUUUCUUCUUCUUCAUCCUUUUUUUUUUUUCUUUUUUCUCCCUCUUUUGAAACUGUUGUUAUAAUUAAAAAGAACCGCCGAUUACUUCUCCAUUUUUCGCUCCACAUAUGAAGUCCUAGCCUCCGAGUCAUGUUGCAGCUUCUAAAAUUUUAAAGAAGUGUUUGUUGUAACUUUUCGCAGAGUGUCACAAUUCUUUUUCUAUUUAUUAAGUAUCUUAGAUCAUCUUAAGUACUCUAGCAGAGUUAAUAUUUUUGUGGACGGUUGAUAUAAAUUGAAAACAAUGAGUGUAAAAUUGAACAAAUUUAAACUUUUUUGGUAUUUUUGAUAACAAAAUAUUCUUUGGAUGGAUGAUUGAUAAUUUUCCAAAAAAGAAUAUGUGUUAUGUGUCCUAAAAUAAGUUUAUAUAAUUAUUUCUUAAAAUUUGAGGAAGUGUAUGCUAAAUCUUUUAAUUUCGCCAGACCACGCAAUGUCACAUGUUCUUUUCCCUAAUAAACAAAAUAUUUAUUUAAAAAAAUCAAUUAAACAUAGACACAUACUAUAUGAGACACAAACCUAAGACCUAGGUCUUGGUAAGGUUGCCUACUAACCAGAGGAGCUAGACCUUAGUAUGUAAUAAUGAAAACAUGUUAAUUGAAUUUGUUACACACACAAACACACACAUAUUCUUGCUAAAAAUGCAACAAAAUAACAACACAAUAAAAUUAUACCCAUCAUGUAAUCCAGGGUUGGCUUUAAGGGAUUCGGGGCCUUAGGCAAAUUUCUUUUUAGGUCUUUGUACAUUGAACAACAUCAACUUUUGAAGGAUAUAUAAAAUAACUUAAAAUUUAAAUUCUUUUGGAUUACACAAGCCAUAUACCAAUAUAAAAAUUAAAAAUAAAUUAAAUUUGUAAAAGAAAAGAAUAAUAAUAAUUUAAAAUAAAUAAUGAAGAAUAGCACAUAGAAGUUGUCCAGUUGAGAUGAAUAUGAUGAUUAGUUGAUAGCAAUAUAUUUCUUAGAGAAUAAUUUUCUUUGUAGAGAACAACGAAAGAAAUAUUUUAUCUAACAUUAUUGUUGAUUCAAUGUCUAAUAGUUUUGAGGUUUUUAAUAGAGUUUAAAGGAAUACNNNNNNNNNNNNNNNNNNNNNNNNNNNNNNNNNNNNNNNNNNNNNNNNNNNNNNNNNNNNNNNNNNNNNNNNNNNNNNNNNNNNNNNNNNNNNNNNNNNNNNNNNNNNNNNNNNNNNNNNNNNNNNNNNNNNNNNNNNNNNNNNNNNNNNNNNNNNNNNNNNNNNNNNNNNNNNNNNNNNNNNNNNNNNNNAAAUGGGAGUAAUAAUAGGAACACAUCUAAAAGUUAGGCUUUCUUAUAUACAUAACUUAAAUAAAAUCUUUGAAAUCUUAGAAGAAUAAUUAUUUAUUAGCGUAUUAAUUAAACAAAUGUCAAAUAUUGGGCAUCUCUAAAAUUUGGGGCCUUAGGAGACCACCUAGUGGGCUUAGUGCUAAAGCCGUCUCCAAUGCAUGCCCUAAAAGAGUCAAGAGUACAAACAAAACCAAUAAAACCAACAAAACUUAAUAGUGAAUACCAUAGAGAGAUCAGCAGAUACGUGGCAUUGUUAUACAGAACUACAACAGUUAAGACUGUCCUUUGGACCAGUAGUCCGCAAGUUCGGGUUUCCAGCCAAUAUACCUCUGAGAUUAAAAACUUUGAAACAUUUUCAUCGGGUUAUACAACCCAAAACAGACUUUCUUUUAGUCUAAAACAGGGUAGCCUUUAGAAUUGAACCGCGUAAUGGGCAGAUCUUCUUGGGCUGUCUGAACAGCUGUGAUCAUUGAAGAAUAAGUAAAUGAGAGCCUAGGAGGCUCUUUGGGAGCACUGGGAGGUGGUUUAAAAGUCAUUCUGACUGUGCCAUCUUGUCUUCAUUCAAACAUGGUUUCAGAUGUCUGAAUUGGAGCUGUAUUAUUAUGGAACUGUUCAUAGUUGGAGAUCCAUUCAAGAGGCAUUAGCUUGAUGAGCUCAUGUCGGGGAAUUUGUCUUGGGAUCUGGAUGAUUGUGGGGAUUUGGUCAGAUUCAGCUAACACCAUGAGGGUGUCAGAGUGGUGUUCUGGAGUGGGUAGAUCUAAGGCAUGAUUUUGAAGCCGAUAGACCAGUUGAUGAUGGAGGGUGGCAAUUUUAGCAGAGGAAAUUUAUUCUGCACCUUGGAUUUGGACUUGAACUUUCAAGGUUGUGGGUAAGUUGGGAUCUUGGAGAGAAAGGUUGAAGUUUGGGUAAAAGGUGAGUAAAACACUGCCUGCAUGAAGAGUUGUGAGGACAGUGCCAAUAACAGCAUCUUGGUACUGUUUAAACCGGGUAUCAAGCAGAGCAAUUCGAGCUGUGACCGGUAACCCUUUUCUUCCAUGAAGGGUAAGGAUGAGGCGGAUGCCUUCAAGAUGGAGAUGGGUAUAACCGUCUCGUUUCCAAUUGGAAAGCAGUUCUGAGGGUAUUUCCAGAGUGACAUAUUGCUUAGCAGAGGUUGCUUGAAGAGCACAUUGAUCUAGGCGAGAAGACUGGAUAUAUUCUUUAGGGUGAGGCCGUCUGGUAGAGAUGAGGGUGCGAAUGCUGCGAGUAAAGGAACUGGGGCGUUUGUACAGCUGGUAAGGGCUUAUGAGAGGGUAGGACGACUCACUGAUUUGGGCGGAUUCAGGAAUGUAAGAAUAUUCUACAAGGUUUUCAAUCUUAUUGGUGGUAUGAGAAGUGCGGGAUUUGGGCAAAGAAAGAGUAACAGGAUUGGAAGGAGUUAAAGAUGAAGGAGAAGCCAUGAAGAUGAAAUACUCUCUGCUCCUGAAGGUUAGAGAUCAAAACAAAAAAAAAAAGACUUAAAUUAUACCAUUUUGAGCAUAAAAACUGAACUUUAGAAAACAACAUGGUUUCAAGGACGAGCAUGGCUCUGAUACCAUAGAGAGAUCAGCAGAUACGUGGCGUUGUUAUACCAGAACUACAACAGUUAAGACUGUCAUUUGGACCAGUAGUCCGCAAGUUCGGGUUUCCAGCCGAUAUACCUCUGAGAUUAAAAACUUUGAAACAUUUUCAUCAGGUUAUACAACCCAAAACAGACCUUUUAGUCUAAAACAGGGUACCAAACCAAAUAAGAAACGAUCAAAAGUUUUCUAAUGCACAGGAUCCUUGCAAAAGGCAAGUGCAGAGUAUACUUCCUUAAGUUUUCAAAAUGAACAAAUUUAAUUCUUUAUUUGUUUGCAGAGUAUACUUCCAUUUUUCGCUCCACAUAUGAAGUCCUAGCCUCCGAGUCAUGUUACAGUUUCUAAAAUUUUAAAGAAGUGUUUGUUGUAACUUUUCGCAGAGUGUCACAAUCUUUUUUCUAUUUAUUAAAUAUCUUAAUUGAAUUUGUUACACACAUAUUAUUCUUGCUAAAAAGACCAAAAUAACAAUACAAUAAAAUUGCAUCCAUCACGCCAUGCCCAUUGCCCUGAAAGAGUCAGUAGUACAGACAAAACCCAUAAAACCAGCGAAACUUGAUAGCGUAAUUAAUAAUUUUAACAACAUAUAACAGGGAACUUAGAGGAUAUGCUUAUACAGAUUCAAAUAACGAAAAAGUUUUAAAAAAUUAGAAAAUUAACAAUAAUAACAUGACGGUAAUAUAAAAAUGCCACGUAUGUUUGUGAGAAUUUAUACUGGUGGUCUUACUCAGUUAAUAAGAUAUUUAACGAACUAAUAUAUAACUCUUUUAAUAAUUACAGCUUUUUAAUGAUUAGUUGUGUAUAUGCUACAUUCUUUGAUAUACCAAUUUGAAAUUUAGCUCCGUUAACUAUGUGUGCUAUAUUUUGGCUAGCUGUUGCCACAAAAUGUUAAUCUCUAGUGAUUUUUUGGUAUGAUGGACAAAAACAAAAUUAUGGAAAGGCUGCAAUUUGAAGCAACGAUCACAAAUAGUUCACAAAUGAAUAGAUUGAUCCACAUGAAUUGAGGAAACAAAAUGUCAAAACGAAGCAUAGGUUGCCAUUUCAAGCUACAAGGGCAAAUAGUUCAGAAAUGUGUUCCACGGGAAUUGCCUGAUCUUGUGCUUAAAGCAAACAUAAGGGCAUAAUUUUAUAUAGCAACCGACAAGCUGAAAAUAGAUAAAUACUUUUCCGUUUUUCUGUUAAUUUAAUAGAACUGCCUUUGAAAUCUCCCAUUGUCAUACAAAGUUACAAACCAUGUAUGUGCACUUGUCCUUUGUUUGCAUCUGUAGCCUUCUGUCGUCAAAUAUAUAUUAUCCAAGUCUCAAGUAAGGGCAUUUAAGUAAAUAAAGUUUGUAUUAGUUAAAGCAAAAAUAAUCUCUCCCAAAAUUCGGCGCUUGCAGCUUGCUUUCACUCAAUUCAAAUCCUAUAAAUGCCCCCAUUAAAUCGUUUCAAAUUCCAUCAACUAAACAUUCAAUCCUCAAACUAUUUAUCUAUUCCUCUCAUUCCUAUCUUCAAAUUAAGUUUUCAAGAAAAUGGCAAAAUCAAUGUCUUUGCAUAUUCUUUUAGUACUAAUAUUCUUGAUUCUCUUCUUUAGUUCAUCUUUAGCAAUUCCAGUGGUCACUUACAAUGUGAUCAGUUUGGGAGCCAAAUCUGAUGGCCGGAGUGACUCAACGAAAGCCUUUCUAGCUGCAUGGGCUAAAGCUUGUGGCUCAACUGCGGCCUCAACCAUUUACGUGCCACCUGGGAGGUACUUGCUGCACAAUGUUGUGUUUCAAGGCCAAUGCAGGAACAAUGACAUUACCAUACGUAUUGAUGGGACUCUAGUGGCUCCAUCCGAUUAUCGUGUCAUUGGAGAUGCGGCAAACUGGAUUUUAUUUGAGCACGUUAAUGGCGUUUAUAUUUAUGGUGGCAUCCUUGAUGGCCAAGGUGCUCGCUUGUGGGCUUGUAAACGAUCAGGCAAUAAUAAUUGCUACUAUUGUGAAUUCGUUGCAGCAUUGGUAGCUUAGGCAAAGAGCUGCAUGAGGGCUGGAGUGCAAAAUGUGACAGUAAAAACUGUCACAUUUACAGGAACUGAAAAUGGAUUGAGGAUUAAGUCCUGGGGAAGACCAAGCACUGGAUUUGCUCGGAACAUUCUUUUCCAACAUGCUCUUAUGAAGAAUGUCGAUAAUCCCAUCGUAAUUGAUCAAAAUUACUGCCCCGACAACAAGAAUUGCCCUGGAAAGGUAUUUUAUUUAUCACAAGUUUGUAUGUGAGAAUGUUAGCGUUUAUGUGAAUAAAAUUCAAAUUAAUAAUUAUAUUUUUUAUAUUCAACAGUCAUCAGGGGUUAAAAUCAGUGAUGUAACAUACCAAGAUAUUCAUGGAGCAUCUGCAACGGAAAUUUCUGUAAAGUUUGAUUGUAGUCCAAAGUAUCCAUGCUCUGGCAUAAACUUGGAGGAUGUGAAGCUCAUUUACAAGAAUCAACCAGCUGAAGCAUCGUGUAGGAAUACUGAUUGAUCGGCCUCUGGUUUUGUUCAGCCAAAUAGUUGCUUGAAAUUGUGAAAAAUAAAAUUAAUUCUUGCGUUAAAUUGCGUUUUUUUUUAAUUUUUCAUUUCCUUUUUAAUGAGCCUAGGAAUUUUCCAUGGGCCUUUUCUGAGAAAACCCAUUGGGCUUCUUGGAGGAUGCUUACACUAAUUGCCGUAUAAGACAAAAUCAAAACUGCACUCUUUUGUACUCACAGAAAUGGAGUCAUAUAUUUUGGGUAACAUUAUCUUAUUGCAGUACUAAUGUUUGUUCCGAAAUUCUGCCUAUUGAAACUAUUAAAAUUAACAUUUUCUAUUAAAAUCAAAUUGAAAUCGGGGAACGGCCUUUCACCACCAACUCUGUUUGGGCGAUAGCCCAUUGCCCGGAUUGAGAGAUGGCUAUCGCCCAACCAUCGCUGGAAAAAAAUAAAAAAAUCAAUGAAUUCGAUUUAAUGGAUUUUAUGGUAAAAAUUAUUUUUCAUCUUAUUGUCGAGUCUGAUUUAUAAUGUUACUUUUGUACGUUAAAAUGUUUUUUAAUCGUAAAGUUAAAUGAUUAAAUAAUAAGUAACGUCGUGGUGAAUAUGAAAAGUAUUAAAGAACAAAAGAAAUUCUCCUUUCCAAUCAAAUAUCCUUUUUCUUUUAUCUUAGUAAUAUAUCAUUCAUUCAUCAUAUACAUGGGUAUGAUCGAAUAAGAAAUUAAUAUGAAACAACUGUCCAAAAUGAUAGGUAGCAUAUAAUUUAAACCGCAAGAUAUUUAAGAAGUGCAGUAAAUAUAUAAGAAUUAUGUAUCCUUCAGUGGCACAUAAUUUAAUUACUUAUUUAAGAAUUUAGAAGUAAUGUAUGUUUGGUAAAAUAGUAUUUAAAAAAUAAGCACAAUUAAAAUCAGCGUACUGGAUUUAAAUUUCAUGCAAACAGAGAAAUCUAAGAUCUAUCUAAGAAUUUGUUUUUUAACUAAAGUUACUAAUUAAGUAAACCAACAAUUGUUUUAUUUUUAAUACAUAGUUUAAUAAUUAUUAAAGUAAAUAAUAUGUUUUCUUAAUCUAAUUUCUCCACCGUUUCUCAUUUUCUCCGGACUCUUCAAUUCGCCCUCUUUUGCUUUAGUUUGAAAAAAUCCGGUCAUACUUUUAGUCAAGAUUAGGUGGCAAGCUAGCAGUUAUCAAGCACAAGUAAAACAACGUACUAUACUAGACCAUGAAAAAUGAAACAGAAACAACAACAACAAUAAUAAUAAGAGGAAUAAAAUAAAACGAAAUAUAAAAUAUAACAACUACGUAAGCAUAAAGACCAACUCGAGCCACAAUAAACUUUCUGUUUGAUCAUUACACGAUCAUUUUCAACAUAAAUAAAAGCUUAAGAAAGGAGGGAAAUUAUUAGCCAUCCACUAAAAAUAUUUCGUUAUUAAAAAUACUACAAAAACUUGAAUUUAUUUGAUUUAACUCUUCUUGUUUCUAGUUUGUAUCAGUUAUCCACUAAAAUGUUAAGUUAUUAUAAUUGAUGGCAUCACAACGAUAAUUUAAAGAUUUAACAUACUAAAUUCAUAAAUGAAAUAAUAUUUUAAGAUAUAAAAAUUAAAAUAAAAACUAUUUUUAUCUAAUCCUUCAUACUUCAUAUACCUCAAAUGACACAUUAUAACAUAAAAUAAACUUUUUAUUGCAAAUCAAAGAAUAAAAUCAACGAUGAGCAAGAAUAAAAACAAUUAGACCUAACUUCAUCUUCUUCUAAUUAUGAAGGAUUUGGUAAGAACGAAGGACAGCGCCAGAAAUUCCAGCAUCAAACAUUCAUCGAAGUGGGGCAUGUUCAUCAUAGCCACUGCUGCUGCUGCCCGUCACUGCCUAUUCUGUCGGCCUUACGGACAGUUGCGACCUCCCAAAGACUCCUGAAUGGGCGACCUUCAAAGUCCAAGGCAAGUUAUUGUCAAUUAUCACAAGUGGUUGAAGGAUUUGGUGGGAAAGGAUAUUGGCAAAUGAAGGAUUUGGCACAAAUUGUAUAUUUAUUUCGUGAAUACUAAAAUUUAGAGAGAUAUGACAAGGAAGAAGAUGGCAAGAUGUUUUACAUUUUAUUUUUGUUUUUAAUUUAAUUAAGUUAAAAAUGGUAAAAUAGUCGUUUUGCUUAGAUCAUCUUAAGUACUCUAGCAGAGUUAAUAUUUUUGUGGACGGUUGAUAUAAAUUGAAAACAAUGAGUGUAAAAUUGAACAAAUUUAAACUUUUUUGGUAUUUUUGACAACAAAAUAUUCUUUGGAUGGAUGAUUGAUAAUUUUCCAAAAAAGAAUAUAUGUGUUAUGUGUCCUAAAAUAAGUUUAUAUAACUAUUUCUUAAAAUUUGAGGAAGUGUAUGCUAAAUUUUUUAAUUUCGCCAGACCACGCAAUAUCACAUGUUCUUUUCCCUAAUAAACAAAAUAUUUAUUUAAAAAAAUCAAUUAAACAUAGACACAUACUAUAUGAGACACAAACCUAAGACCUAGGUCUUGGUAAGGUUGCCUACUAACCAAAGGAGCUAGACCUUAGUAUGUAAUAAUGAAAACAUGUUAAUUGAAUUUGUUACACACACAAACACACACAUAUUCUUGCUAAAAAUGCAACAAAAUAACAACACAAUAAAAUUAUACCCAUCAUGUAAUCCAGGGUUGGCUUUAAGGGAUUCGGGGCCUUAGGCGAAUUUCUUUUUAGGUCUUUGUACAUUGAACAUCAACUUUUGAAGGAUAUAUAAAAUAACUUAAAAUUUAAAUUCUUUUGGAUUACACAAGCCAUAUACCAAUAUAAAAAAUAAAAAUAAAUUAAAUUUGUAAAAGAAAAGAAUAAUAAUAAUUUAAAAUAAAUAAUGAAGAAUAGCACAUAGAAGUUGUCCGGUUGAGAUGAAUAUGAUGAUUAGUUGAUAGCAAUAUAUUUCUUAGAGAAUAAUUUUCUUUGUAGAGAAGAGCAAAAGAAAUAUUUUAGCUACGAUUAUUGUUGAUUCAAUGUCUAUUAAUUUUGAGGUUUUUAAUAGAGUUUAAAGGAAUACUAAAAGUCAAAUCUAAUGCUAGUAAUUUUAAUAGAGUAUUCUUUCCGAAAAGUGAAAGUAUUUAUUUAUUUUCCUUGGAAACAUUAAUAAAAUAAAGAAUUAACUGUAAAACUAUUAAUCCUACCAUAUGUGAAGAUUAUCAAAUAUACAUUUUUUAUUGAGAAAACAAAUGUUAUUUUUGGAUAAUUAUAAAUGGGAGUAAUAAUAGGAACACAUCUAAAAGUUAGGCUUUCUUAUAUACAUAACUUAAAUAAAAUCUUUGAAAUCUUAGAAGAAUAAUUAUUUAUUAGCGUAUUAAUUAAACAAAUGUCAAAUAUUGGGCCUCUCUAAAAUUUGGGGCCUUAGGAGACCACCUAGUGGGCUUAGUGCUAAAGCCGUCUCCAAUGCAUGCCCUAAAAGAGUCAAGAGUACAAACAAAACCAAUAAAACCAACAAAACUUGAUAGUGAAAUUAAUAAUUUUCCACAAUUUAUGAUAGGAAACUUAGAGCAGAUGUUCACAUAGAUUUAAAUUCAAUCAUAUAAACUGAUAUGAGAUAUAAACAGUGAAAAGGUUUUUUUUUUUUAAAUUCGAAAUUCGAAAUUAAUAACACGGAGUAAGAUAACAAUGUCACAUAUGUUUGUAAGAAUUUAUAAUUUAUGUGCUGCAUACAUGCCUCUUCUGAUAAACACAAAUUCUUGAUGAUUAGUUGUGUCUAUGCCAUGUAUAUUCUUUUAAAAAUAAGAAUCUGUUAUGAAUUUACAUGUUCAUUUGCAUAUUUAUAUAAAUGAUUUAUAACGAAAGAAAAAAGCAUGCAGCAAAGAAACGAGAAAUCAAGGCAUUGCCAGAAUUAUGGUAUCGAAAUAUUGUGAAAUUUUAUGGCCUCUGUUCACAUUGCGGCACUCGUAUUUAGUCUAAAUAUAUUGAAACGGGUAGUGUGACCACAAUUCUAAGCAAUGAUGCAACAAUAGAAGAAUUCAUGAGCUGGACUGUGAGAAUGUAUAUGAUGAAAGGUGUAACUAAUUCCUUGACUUAUAUGCAUCAUGACUGCUUCCCACCAAUUAUCCAUCGAGACUUAUCAAGCAAGAAUGUGUUGCUGGUUUAGAUUAUGAAGCUCUGUUUGAAUCGCAAAAUUCCUCAAGCCAGAUUCGUCCAAUUGGACUCAAUUUGGGGGCCAUUUGGAUAUGUUGUUCCAGGUAUGCGUUCUUAAAUAAACCCAGUGAUCACUUUUACAUUAAUAGGCGUCAUAUCCAAAUGAUGAUUUUCAUCAUUCACUUUUGCUGAGCUUGCCAACACAAUGAAGGUUACCGAAAAAUGCAAGGUGUAUAGCUUUGGAGUACUGGCAUUAGAAGUGAUAAAGGAAAAUCAUCCAAGAGAUUUUAUUUCUUCAAUUUCGCCAUCAUCUUUCAUCAGGAGCAUAUCAUUUAAUGAAAGUUUGGACCCUCGGCUUUCAACAGCAUCAUGAAAUGUUCAAGACAUGCUGAUAUCAAUCAUGGAGGUUGUCUUUUUAUGAUUAGAUGUGAGUCCAAAAUCAGGACCCACAAUGCACACAAUGUGUCAAUUGAUUUGCAGAAAAUCCAGAAAGUCAAAAUUUUCGUUUUUGUUUUCAUUUUCUUUUUUCUUUUGUAUUUUUUUCAUUUUUCGUUUUUGUUGAAUUAAACAUGACUUUUGAAACUUAUGAUGAUAGAAACCCCAUGCCUUAACAUUAAGAAACAGAAAUUGGAAAAUAGAGGUUGUCAUAAGAUAAAUUAAUAUUCAUUAACAUUAUGAGUUUCUACGUGCGAAAAGAGACAGCAAUACUUUCAGCGCAUUGUAAGAGCUGCCACUAGCAAGCCCAAUGGGCGUAGUUUUACAAAACCGAACAACCUUAGUACUAAGUAUAUUGAACGGCUUCUUAUGCCCUUUUUUUUUUCAUUUUCUUUUUAAUUCUGUGUACUAUAUAAUCAUGAUCGGCUUCCUAUGCCUUUUUUUUCCAACUCAAAUACUUUUCAUAACUUCAAGUCUUCAAGCAACUAUUUGGCAGAAUAAAUCCAGAGGCCGAUCCAUCAGCGUUGGCGCAGGAAGCUUCAGCUGGUUGAUUCUUGUAAAUGAGCUUCACAUCCUCCAAGCUAAUUCCAGUGCAUGGAUUCUUCGAACUGCAAUCGAGCUUUACUCCAACUUCCGUUGCCGAAGUUCCAUGAAUAUCUUGAUAUAUCACAUCACUGAUUUUAACCCCUGAAGCCUAUUGAACAAGGGAAAAAAAAAAUAUAUUGAGUUGAAUUUUAUUCACAUCAACGUUCAAAUAAUCACAUUUACAAACUUGUGAUAAAUAAAUAUCGUACCUGUCCAGGGCAAUUGUUGUUGUCAGGGCAGUAAUUUUGAUCAAUUAUGAUUGGAUUAUCGACAUUGUUCAUAAGAGCAUGUUGGAAAAGAAUGUUCCUGGCAAAUCCAUUGCUUGGUCUCCCCCAGGACUUAAUCCUCACUCCAUUUUUAGUGCCUGUAAAUGUCACAGCUGUUACUGUCACAUUUUGCACUCCAGCCUCUUGUUGCUCUUUGCCUAAGCUGCCAAUGCUGCAACAAAAUCACAAUAUCCAAUUUAAUCAGCACUAAAUAUUUAUAACACCAAAAAUGAAGAGAAAAACAAAUUAUUAUGCUUUUUAAUUUUACCUAAUACCAUGGCCAGGGCCACAAGCGACAUUCUCAAUCCAUAAAUUGGUGGUGCCUGGGCCAACUGAUACACAAUCAUCACCAGUCCCAAUUUUUGAGUCCAAAAUUGUGACACCACUUGAUGAUUGAACGUGAAUGCCAUCGGUGUUGGGGCUGUCACCGGAGGCCGAAACUUUGACCCCUUGUACUUUCACAUGGUUGCAUCCGUUGAUGACAAUAUGAAAUUUCUGGCUAUCUACGGAUGCUAAUCCGUUAAUCACAACGUUGUUUGAGUUGCUAAAGCGAAGUGUCUGCUCAUGUAUAUACAAAAGAAGGAUUAUCUACUCUAAUAAUUAAAGUAUAAAGCCAAUCAAUAUGACAAGCCAAAAGGCACUUGAUUUAUGACUGGAUAUAGGAUGAUAUUUCAACUUAAUUACCGUAGCGCCACUGGGGCAAUUACUAUUGUCUGACUUUUUACAAGCCCACAAGCCAGCACCUUGGCCAUCAAGAACGCCGCCAUUAAUAGAAACCCCAUUAACAUGCUCAAAUAAAAUCCAGUUUUCGGCAUUUCCAAUAACAUGAUAAUCAGCUGGAGCCACCAGAGUCCCGUCAAUACGUAUGGUAAUAUCAUUGUUCUUGCAUUGGCCCUGAAACACAGCAUUGUGUAGUAAGUACCUCCCCCGUGGCACGUAAAUGGUUGCGGCCUCCGCCGAGCCACAGGCUUUAGCCCAUGCAGCAAGAAAGGAUUUUGCUGAGUCAGUCCGACCAUCGGGUCUGGCUCCGAAGCUCAGCACAUUGUAACUCAAGGGAAUUGCUAAAGAUGAACUAAAGAAGAGAAUCAAAAGAAAUGUUAAAAAACUAAUAGGCAAAGACCUUGAUGUUGACAUUGUUUCAAAGCUUAAAUUUACUAAUAGAAAUGAGAGAAAUAGAUUUGAGACGUUGAGGAGUUAGUGUGAAGUUGAAAAGAUUUAAAUGGGUAUUUAUAGGAUUUGAAUGAACUGUAGAAAUGGCAAUAGCACUAGUAGUGAAUGCAAUCUGCGCCGAAUUUUGGGAGUGAUUUUUGCGUUGACUAAUACGAUCUUAAUUUACUACACUUAAACCGAAAUUUGGAUGAUGUUUGAUGACAGAAGCAUCAAAUUCAUACAAAAGACAAGUGCAUAUCUAUAUAUGGUUUGGUAAGAUGGGAGAUUUCAAAGGUAGUUAAUAAAUUAACAGAAAAAAGUGCUUAUCCAUUUUCUGCUUUUCUGCUGCUAUGUAAAAUUAUGCCCGUAUGUUGCUUUGAGCAUAAGAUCAAUGCCUCCUCAGUUCCCGACUUCCCGAGGAACGAUAUGUUCAUUUCUCUGAACUUUUUCUCCUUAUUGCUUGAAAUUACAGCAAAAUAAAGCCACUCGAAAAUCAUUCGACUAAAUUUUUUGUGUAGCUUCUAAAGGCUGUAUCGACUAACAUUGGACACACACAAGUACACAACAAAUGAUUAUGUGCUACAACUUUUAAAAGGCAUGUAAAUUGCAUGCAGAUUGUUCAUUUGUUGGUUAAUACAUCUUUCCAUUUAUUCCGCUGGGCUUUCAAGAAUUAUACAGGAUAAGAAUUACCAUGCAUUCCCUAUUACGCAUAAAAUUAAUUGAUUUCAAUAUGCAGCGGUCAGGCACUAUUGUUGCUAGAGCUUUAAUAGUUGUAAGAUUUUUCUAUGAUGCCAUACGAAUUUUUGUAGUAUUGAUAAUAUGGAUUAUUGGAUUUAAAUCUUUUAAUCUUUACCGUUGAUUUAAUUUAGUUGAUAAACAGUUAAUUAGUUGCUUACUUAAUAAACAAUAGGUAAUUUUCUAGUUGUAGGUAAUAUAUAUGUUUGUGGAUAGAAUUUUAUUUUAAUUAAAUGAUAAAUAUUUUCUGAAUCACUAACAGAUAAAAAUAUUAAACAUGCAAAUAUACGUAUUGAUUUAGAUUUAUGUGUAAUAAAUAUUGAAAUAUUAUUUAAUCUUCAUCGUCACAUAUUAAUAGUGAUCUCUUUUUAUCAUUUAUAAUUGGAACAAUAUAGAUUUAAUUUCUUGGUGUUAAAU
rnacentral:lncRNA from 1 species